UUUUUUUUUCUGGGUUGCAGGAGGGGGAAGAGGGAGUUGGGGGGACAAACUGAGGGUGGGUGCGGGGGAAGACAAAUUGGAAUUUUUUUUUUUGUUGGGGGUUGCAAGUGGGGGGAAGAAGAUGAAGAUGGGGAGAAGAGAGAGGAGGGAGGGAAUGGGAAGGACGAACUGAGGAUUGUUUUCUUUUUUUCUUUUUUAUUACUUUUCUUUCUUAUUUUAAUAUUUAAAAAAAUUAAAUAAUUUUUUUUUUUAGUUUUUAAUAAUAUUUUAAUGAUUUUUUAAUAGAAAGUUGGCUCCGAAUCAAGUCACGUCAGUAUUUAACUAAAAAGUAAACGGCCAAGUAACAGAAGGUAUAACAUUAGACCAAAUUCUAAAGAUGAGGUAUGACAUUGUCAAUUUUAAAAGAUGAGGUAUGAAAGUGUCGUGACAUCAAUAGUUGAGAUAGUUUUUUGUACUUUACCCUAAUAAUUAUGAAUAUGAAAUAUUUGUCAUAGCAGAACACCAAUUGAAAAUUAAUCUCCAAAAAGAUAGUAUAUAUCUCUAAUCUUAGAAAGCUAGAAAUCAAGCUUGGUGUCUCAAGGCUUCACCAAAAAUAAUUAGACUAAAGAGCCCCUUAAACAAAAAAACCCAAAACUGGCUAAAAAUAAUAGAACCAAAUUCUCAUGGGUAAUUUUGUCAUAAAAAAUAAAAAUAAAACAAUUUUUUUUAAAAGGACUAAAUAAAAUGGAUUAAAGCCAUGUGGGUUAAGCGUGUAAAGGGAAGGAGUUUUAUAACCAUCUAUAUAUUAUUAUUAGGAGAACCCUUCUUGUCAACUUUUUGCCUUUUUUUUUCUAUUUUAUCCUCAUUAUUGAUACACAAUACUUACAUAAGGAGGACAAAAUAGUAAUUUUCUAUCUUUUGAGAAAAUGAAAAUCAUAUUCCUAUUUUUUCUAAUUUACCUUCACUUUUGAUACACAAUAUUUACAUAAGAUGGAUAAAACAGUAAUGAUGUAAUAUUAAGAUAAAAUAUGCAGUUAUUAAGAGAAAUUGUCGCACCAUCAUUUUUUUAUACUCUUUUUAAAAUUUUAAAAACUAAUCACACUCUUUAAUAAAAAAAUAAAAAAUAAAAUAAAAUUAUUCACACACAUAAAAUAUGUGUUCAUCGGUCGGUAUAAAUAAAAAAUUAGACGAUGGUAAGCAAAAGUGGUGACAUGUGAUGUAAAUCUUAGGCCCACCCCGCAUGCCACAUGUGAUCCAUCCACCGUUGCGUGACGUUUAAUGACCUCCACUUGUUUAAAUACUCGCGAUUUCCGCAGAUUCUUGGUGAUCCUUCCCUUCCGUCAAAUAACUACUAAUAUUAACAGAUGGUUGAAAAAUCUAUAAUACCCUCUCUCCCGUGUUUGAGGAAUUUUGGAUUUGAGGUCGGGUUUGCGUAAUUAACACCAAAAUGUAAGGGUAAAUAUGUCCCGAAAUAUCAUGAAAGCUGCCACUUCCCAAGUCCCCACAGUCCACUCUCUCCCCUCUGCAACUCUCUGAAAUUCUCUCUCUGGAUUUUCUUCUUCCAUGGCGUCCUCUUCGAUGUCAGCAAGCGGAGUGCUCACCUCCCGAUCGUCGGUGUUGCGGAACUCGAAGCAGAACCAUAACAUCAGCCGCCUCUCGUUCAGUGGCUCUCAUCUCUCCGGGACCAAAAUCUCCGCGCCCAGCACCUGUUUGAGGAGAUCGCCCACUAACAGAGUCCCGCCGCUGGUUGUGUCUCCCAAAGCUGUUUCCGAUUCCAAGAACUCUCAGACGUGUCUUGAUCCCGAUGCGAGCCGGGUGAGUAAUUCAUUUCUCUCUGUACCGCAUUUGGUGCUUUUGUUCUAUGCAUUAGCGAUUUAGCAUAAUGAGUUCUUGUUUUGAUUGAAAUUUUGGGAAUUUGAUUGUGUUGAUGUGUAGAGUGUGUUGGGGAUUAUACUGGGUGGGGGAGCUGGGACGAGGCUUUACCCAUUGACAAAGAAGCGUGCGAAGCCUGCUGUUCCAUUGGGAGCAAACUACAGGCUGAUCGAUAUCCCAGUCAGUAAUUGCCUCAACAGCAACGUAUCAAAGAUCUAUGUGCUGACCCAGUUCAAUUCCGCUUCGCUCAAUCGCCAUCUUUCUCGUGCUUAUGCUAGUAACAUGGGUGGCUACAAAAACGAAGGCUUUGUUGAGGUUCUUGCUGCCCAGCAGAGCCCUGAGAAUCCCAAUUGGUUUCAGGUGAUUAAAACGCUUGUUUAGUAAUUGUGGGGUUGUGUUGGGAAUCGGGUUUCGAUUGGUUUCUGAGUUUGGAUAUUGGGUUUUGGUUUGGUUUUUGAGUUGGAUAUUUGGUUUUGAUGGUUUGCAGGGUACCGCGGAUGCCGUGAGGCAGUACUUGUGGUUGUUUGAGGAGCACAAUGUGUUGGAGUUUUUGGUUCUUGCUGGGGACCACUUGUAUAGGAUGGACUAUGAGAGGUUUAUUCAGGCACAUAGAGAAACUGAUGCAGACAUCACUGUGGCUGCUCUGCCCAUGGAUGAGAAGCGUGCUACCGCCUUUGGUUUGAUGAAGAUUGAUGAAGAGGGAAGGAUUAUUGAGUUUGCUGAGAAACCUAAAGGGGAGCAACUCAAAGCUAUGAAGGUGAAAGAUCCACUUGCAAAUUGUUUAAAUUAUUUAGUGCAUUACGUAUUUGUUUCAUUGUGAAUUGGAGCGCUAGUGGGUUAUGGUGUGUAAUUGAGUAGCGAUGCAAAAUGUUGUUUCUGUUUUGUUUUAGGUUGAUACUACUAUCUUGGGUCUUGAUGAUGAGAGAGCUAAAGAGAUGCCUUAUAUUGCCAGUAUGGGUAUAUAUGUUGUGAGCAAAAAUGUCAUGUUAGAUCUACUUCGAGACAAGUUUCCUGGUGCAAAUGAUUUCGGGAGUGAAGUUAUUCCAGGCGCAACUUCCAUUGGUUUGAGGGUAAGUUUUCAUGUCGUAUUUUAAUCUGUACUUUUUAUGUUACGAUCUAUCAAAAGAGGUUCUUUUGCAUCGUCCACUUUGGGGGAAAAAGAUUGGAAUAAUUGUCAAGUGUAUUGGAUGGACAAGUCUCACCCUCUUAUUCAGUUGAAACACCAAGUUCUUGUUUUGCAGAAGCAGCAAUCAGAACUCCAUUAUAGUCUGGUAUUACACAAUUGCAAAUAUCAUUCAUUGAAAACUGAAUAAAUCCUUUUCUAAUGAAAAAGACGAUGUCCUAAAUUGAUUUUAUAUGAUAGUAUUUCCCAGUUCCAUACGUUCUUUACCCUGCUUCCCUUCAUCCAGAUAUUCAGGCACUGGAAGGAAUACUAAUUAGUAAUGCCUACAGGUUCAAGCUUAUCUGUAUGAUGGCUACUGGGAAGAUAUUGGUACCAUUGAGGCUUUCUACAAUGCAAACUUGGGGAUAACAAAAAAACCAGUUCCAGAUUUCAGGUACCUUUUAUUCUAUAACUUGUUUGUUAUCUGUUAUGUUGGGCCAAUUGAUAUGUUAUGCUAUCAGUUUGAUCUCGAUUUAAUAUUCCUGCCUAAUUUCGAACUUAAUACUGUAGCUUUUAUGAUCGUUCAUCCCCAAUCUACACCCAACCUCGGUAUUUACCUCCAUCAAAAAUGCUUGAUGCUGAUGUCACAGAUAGUGUUAUUGGCGAGGGAUGUGUAAUAAAGGUAAAGUUCUUUAUAGAAAUAUUCAUCAUUUUGCUAAAAUGUUCCAUUAUAAUGUCAUAUCCUAGUCCCAUGUUUUCUUCGAUUUUGGAAAAACUUACAUCCAUGUGCUAUUGUUGCAAGAAACAGAGAUCAGAAUAAUGUAUUGCAGUCCUGCUCAUUUGACCCAACCCUACUUUUUUCGUAAACACAGAACUGUAAAAUUCACCAUUCAGUCGUUGGGCUUCGGUCUUGCAUAGCGGAGGGUGCUGUCAUUGAAGACACAUUACUGAUGGGAGCUGACUACUAUGAGGUAUAACCUGCUUCUUUUUAUUUUAAGGCAUGACCCAAUAAACAUGUUUUUGUUUUAUCAGGAUGAAUGGACUUCCCUUCAAAAUAUUGUCACUGUCGGUUUGAUAUUUCUAUGGGUUGGUUAGAUUAUUCUGAUGCCAUUCUUGUGCCCCAGACUGAUGCUGACAGGAGGUUUCUAGCUGCAAAGGGUAGCGUUCCAAUCGGUAUUGGCAAGAAUUCUCACAUUAGGAGAGCUAUAAUUGAUAAGAAUGCUCGAAUUGGAGAAAAUGUUAAGGUAAGGAUAUUAUCAGCAUAACAUGAUUAUUUCAGUUUAUUAAUUUGAAGUCUAAAUUUUAUAGCCGAUUUGAAACUUAUUAAAUGGAAACAGAAAACCGAUUCCUAUGUGUACUUCCUAUUCCCUGCUUACAUUCGAUGCAAGGUCGUGUUGGACAUACAUUCAUAUUAUAAAUUUAUUCUUCUUAGUUGAUCACACGAAACAGUUUAUAUUUUAUCUUUGUGAAACUGACCAUCGACGAUUAUAAAUUACAGAUUAUCAAUAUCGACAAUGUGCAAGAAGCAGCAAGAGAAACAGACGGAUAUUUCAUAAAGAGCGCGAUUGUCACAGUGAUCAAGGAUGCCUUGAUUCCUAGUGGAACAGUAAUCUAGCCACCUUAUUUUCCACUCGUUUAUUGCUGACAGCGGAGGUUCUUUCUAGUUACUGGGCUGAGAGGAGCCACGAGUACGCAGCUACAGCAACUUAACGAGCACUUUGAGCGGUUCUGUCUUCUGUUCUUGUAACGUACAUUUCACGGAACUACGAUGUAAUUAUUGAGGAAGAGACCUCAGGAAUUUGCUCUGUAGAUGCUCUAUUUCUAUCUCAAAUAAAAGUUUUUUGCCAAUUGUUCACCUCACAUCUUACAAUACCUUACGAAGUCACUCGGGAAAGCGAUGCUCGAAAACUAGAACACUUUAUUGUUGAAGAAACAUCGUAAUCGUACCCAUGUUCACAGAGUUUGGUAUGUGAAACUUCAAGAUUAUGACAUUGAUACAUCCUUUAUAUAAAACUACACAAGUGAAAAAGGUCCUAAUGUGAUCUACGAAAGGAAAUCCUCGAGGGCUGAAGCUCCUUGGCUGACAAGUUUCGGCAACUUCAUAACAAUGCUUGCGUUUUGAACCUUGAGGAUGAAUUUUCUUUUGGGUUUAAUGCCGUGCUUUUGUUAACACCAGGUUGAAGCGAAAUGCCGACCACAUAAAUUACCAUUGACGUACAAAUUGGUCGAUUCCAUCCCACUCAUCAACCAUUCUAAUGCACACAUGCAGCACAUUCUUGACCAACAUCGCCAUUACCUGUAGAGACAAAAUCAGUUUCGUAUAAUUAGUAAAUGUUAUAGACAAGAAAUUGACAAGAAUUGGUUACACCUUGUGUAUAAGACCAGACAGCUCAAAUAACAGGGUUGCAUGUACUUGACAGAAAGUUGGGAUAAUGUUAGUAAUUACCGCUUGAAUUCCUUGGUUUCUAUCGAAUGCUAGAAAUUGACGAUAAGUGAAUGGUGCAGGCAUUAUAAUUUGAUUUUGCAGGCAAUAAGCAAGAUAAGAUUGUUAAUACCACUUGUUACAAGGUUUUGAGACAUCCCAAACCAUUAGAAAGUUAGAAACAUAUUACUCAAUGUCCUUUGGCACUAGCUAUAACAAGAUCAUUCUACUCAGACGCACUUCUGUGGAUAAUCUAGUGGCCAGUUUUCCAAUUUGAAGAUAAAUAUAGCUUGAGCACGUAGUUAACAAAGAAAGACUAGCUACAGUAUCUUUACUAUUAUGGCCAACCCAAAGUGCUCAAAUAUGAUAUAGAAAACUAAAAAUCUACAUAAAUAUUGAUCCACCGAUUUCUUCUACAAUAGUAUAAAAUAAAUGAACUACGGAUACUGUAAUUACCUGUUUUAUGCGAGUCCAAAGUGAUGUUCACCUUUUUCUAGCUUUUUCGCGAAAGUACCUCCUCCAUUUAUCCUUGAGAUCAACUGGUUGACGGGUUACAUGAAACACAUUAUGACCAUAUUCCAAAAUUUCCUUCCACUGCAUCUUUCCAUUUAAUGUUCCAUGAAGUCUCACUCCCUCCUGGAAUCGAAGACUAUUGAAUUAGAUUCCAACUACUUGAGAAAUCAGGAGAAAGCGCUGGGCUCAACUCACUCAUGCAACACCAUUUUUUAUACCGUGGCCAGCAAAGUUUUUAACCUCUUUCUGAUUUACCUUUGCAAAUUUCUGAAGUAAAUUUUUUUAAAGAACUUUUCACAGGCCGGGGAAAAAAAACAACUCAGCAUAUAUAAGGCUACGUACAAGGCAAAGAAUUUGAAAACUUUUAACACUGCCAGUGAUUUAUAUUAUUUAUAUACGUACGCUUUAAGCUUGUUUUUCUUUAUUGAUACCAAAACUUAAUUUACCCAUAAAUCCCCCCACUGACACAGUUACGCCGUUGAGACAAGCAAGAAAAAAGUUGGUUUGGUUUUGUAUUUUGUAGAUUGUCCUACAUUUCCAAACACGCGUGUCAUGAUCUAGCACAUGAUAUGUCAAUAUAAAUUUCCACUCGUCAAGGGUAUAAUAGAAAAGUCUAUGAUAGUUGACCUAAACUCCUAACCCAAUUCGUUUUCCUUCCUAAAUAAAAGAGAAAGGGAGAGAUGUAUAAUAGAAUGCAGCAGUACCAGUUUCUAAUUGUAGCCAAAUUUGAUAAAUAGAGAUAAAUCAGGUUCACGAUACUGUUUGGCGGAAUUUCAACAUAAUUAGCUGACACUAUAUCAGAUGAUAAAUCUAUUUUAGAAAGGCAGGAAGCCAACCAGAAACAAGUACCUUUAACAUUUUUAACUCUUCAUCUGUCCAAUCUAAUCUCUUCCGCUUCCCAUUAGGAAGUACCAAGUUUCUGCAUCAGAAUAGGAGAAAUAAAUGACCACCAGUUAGUAAUUAUGAGAAUAUCAAAUGACUAUUUUCAUAGUUACAUACCACAUUCCCUACAUAACCUCAUGAACACUAGACUUAAAAUUGAUAAUACAACUCAAGGUCACCUUGAAGACUCCUGAAUUUCUCUUUCCCUCUUGGAAAAGGUUUUAGCAUUUGGAGGCUGUUCUUUCGUUUUAGCUUUUUGUUUGAGUUGCUUGCUUCGCACCAGAGGAGACCCAGUAUCUAAAUUUUCAGAUUUUGAAUCAACAUUGGACUUUCCAGGCACCUCCUUUUCUACUGAUCGCAUCUGUUCUUCAUCCUCACUUUUGCCCUCAUUCUCCUCAGACAGCCUUAUACCAUCCUUCUCAUCUCUUUGGUCGAAUCCAUCAUGUGCAUUGUCUUUAUUUUCUUUCCCCAAGCUCCUCCUCCAUUUAUCUUUAAGAUCAACUGGUUCACGGGUUCUGUGAAACACUUUAUGACCAUAUUCCAAAAUUUUCUUCCACUGCAUCUUUCCGUUUGAUGAUCCACAAACUCUCACUCCCUCCUGGAGCCGAAGAUUACUUAAGUUAGAUUCCAACUACUUAAACAAAUCAUAUGAAAGUAGUAAAGUACUGAACUCAAAUGAGUCAUGCACAGCAUUUUUUAUCCCUAGCCAGCGAACUUUUUUUCCUUUUUCUGAUUUACCUUUGCAAUUUUUUUCAAAAAUUCUUUCAAAAUCCAAAAUAGAGAUAGAGGUUAGGGAGAGAGAGAGUCGGCACUUAAAAGGCUAUGUAAAAGACAAAGAAGUUGAAAUUUUUUAUAGAGGUGUGCUUUAAGCUUCUUUUUCUUCACUGACAUUUAAGGCCUAAUGUAUGCAUAAAUAACCGACUGUCACAGUUUCUCCAUCGAGACGGAGAAAACAGAGGUUGGUUUGGAGUUGUAUUUUGUAGCUUGUUUUGUUCCACAUUUCCUAAAGUGCAUGCCAUGUCAAUAUAUCCUCUCAUCAAGGGUAUAAUAGUAAAAUGUAUGAUAAUUGACUUUGACUCCUAAUCCAAAUUUUCAGCCCUCCUAAAUAAAAGAGAAAGGGAGAGAUCUAUCUUAGAACAAGGCAGUAUCAGUUUCUGGUUGUAGCAAAAAAAAAAGGUGAAUUUAAUAACUUGAGAGAUGAAAUCAGGCAUCGUCAUACCGUUGUUGGGAAGGAAUCUAGACAAUAGUUAGCUGAUAAAAUUUGAAAUGAUGAAACUUAUUCUGGAAAAUCAGGAAGAACAAUACCUUCAACAUUUUUAUCUCUUCAUCUGUCCAUUUUGAUCUCUUACCCUUCACAUUAGGAAGUACCAAGUUUCUGCAUAAUAGGAGAAAUAAAUGAUUGCCAAUUAAUAAUUGUAAGAGAAUAUUGAAUCAUUCCAUCUACUUUUAUCAUAUAAAACAUAUCAAACAACAUAGAUAACCUCAUAAAAAAAAAAAAAUUGACAACUCAUGAUCACCUUGCAGAUUCCUGAUUUUCUCUUUCCUUCUUGGAAAAGGUUUUAGCUUUUCCAUUUUGGUUUUUAGCAUGCUCCUCUGCAGACCUUGUUCGACGAGCUGAUAAUUCCCUUGAUGAAGAGGGCACUGUCCUUAAGGAAGCUACACUUUGAGGCUGUUUUAUCCUUUUACUCUUCUGUUUGAAACGCUGCUUCCUCACUAGUGGAGACCCCGUAUCUAACUCAUCAGAUUCAGGCACAACAGUAGAAUUUCCGGGCACCUCCUUUUCCACUGACUGCAUUUGUUCCUCAUCCUCACUUUCGCCCUCGUUCUCCUCAGGCACCCGUUUACCAUCCUCUUCAUCUCUUUGGUCUGAUAAUCCAUGUGCAUUGUGAUUAUUCGUCAUUUCUUGUACACAACAACCACUCUGGGGCUCUGUCUCCUCUUCUUGUUCUUCUUCAUCACUUCCUCCCUUGCUCUCCUCCGACACCCUUAGACAAUCCUCCUCAUCUCUUCGGUCUAAUCCAUCACGUGCAUUGUCGUUAUUCAUUGUUUCUCUUGGCUCUGCAUCCUCUUCUUGUGUCUCUUCAACAAUUUCCUCCUCCUCAGGGUCCUCAUCUAUUCUCUCCUCACCCCUUACAUCUUCAAUCUCCCUCCUCUGGUCAGUUCCCCCUUCCACAGCCCCACCUCCUUCUACUCCCACAUACUGACCCCGAACCUCAACACCACCCCACCCGCCCGUCUCACACCCACAAUCCUCCCCCUCUCCUGCAUCAAUAAACUUAGACAACACACUCUUGGACCCCAUUACCUUCCUCCCCAACUCCCGACACCGAAAAAACUCCCGCUUAUACGCGCAAUACGGGCAGUAAAACUUUCCCAAUUGAUCAAAAACAGGCCUUGCACACAUGCACUCCUCAUGGAGAGCAAUUGGGCAUCCCUUCUCACUACAAACCAUCAAUUUCCUACUUCCAGAACCACCAUCGUUACACCUAACACAAUUCUCAACUUCUAACAAUCCAUCCAAUUCCAUAGAUUCUUCAACACCCAUUGUUCAAAUUGUUCGACUAAGAACUCACACCAGCAUCAUAAUCCGUCAAAAUUGUUGCAGAAAAAGGGAAAAAAAAUAUUUGAAAUUUGAGGAAUUUAGAAGAAACCCACCUGAGGGAAGAUUCGAGGUGGCGCUGCAGUGGAAAUUGUGGAGGUUUUGGCGGGGAGGGGGCGAGGAUUAACUGUCCGGCUUUUGCGUUUCCUUUGAAGCUCUCUCAGUGCGACCGCGCGCUCGUAGUGAGCAAGAUAGUGAUACGACGUCGUAUAAGUGAUAAGGUAUUUUGCCAGCUGAGAUAAUAUUGGGAUAUUUGGAAAUAUAGCCAUUUUAGAAAUCGCUUAUUGAAAUAUAACCUACAUUUUCUAAUUUUUAUAAAACUAACCCAAAUUAGAGUUAAAAAGACUUAAUUACCUUAACUUUCUCUUAACACUCGCGUGCUGUCUCUUAACACUCCUCAUCUCCAUUGAAACGCCACCACCGAACUUCGCUUUACCCAAACGUAAUUGAACCAAGUGAUCACACCAAGCAGUACUCGCAAUACUAGAUGAAGAAACAGUCAAAACUAACAAAAGUUUUCUGAAAUCUUAUUUGUGGUGUGGCUAUGAACCCAGCCGAGGCUGUGAAGCAUCCUCACGGAGGAGGUAAUCACCACAUAUUGGACAUGCUACAAGAGUCAGGCGUGACGCUCCUCCUGGGCAGAAGGUUGGUCUCAUUGCUGCUAGGGGGACUGGUCGUCUCAGGAAAAGUUGCUGCAAAGGUCUCUAAGGCAGACAAGUGAUGAGAUUACAUUUACCACUUUAUCUACAUUUGCCGUGUUUGGACUGUUAGUAUUUUAUUCAAGACUAGUUUGGUGCAUUUUGUGGAGGAAUUUUGUUUAAGAAAAAAAAAACAAUGGGGAUGAAGAUUUAGAAAGAAAAAACACCACGUACGAUUCUAGAAGCAGGGAAAGUUUUAAACUAAGGGCAAUAAGUCUUUUUAACUUCAAUUUUGGUUAGUUUUAUAAUACAUGAAAAAUGUAGGUUAUAUUUCAAUAGGUGAUCUCUAAAAUGGCUACAUUUCCAAAUUUCCCGAUAAUAUUUCGUUUGAAAUUUUUGAGGUAACUACAUUUUACGACCUUCAAAAUUGAUAUUUUAAAAACAAAUCAUGAGGUUAUAACUUUUUUUAUAUUAAACUUUGAAGUUUUGAAUUUUAUAAUUUACACCUUCUGCCUUUUUUACUAUAUCUUUUAUUAAAUUGAUAAUUUUUUUGGUCAAUAUAAUGCAAAUGUGAUUUGCACGUUAGCUCUUACAAAGAUUUCACGCUUAUUAUGUCAUUAAUUUAAUAAAAUAUUAAACAAUUGAUCCAACAAAAGACAUAAAUUGAUAUGAUUUUAAUACAUCAUAGUGUAAAAUGAGAAAAUUGAAAUUUCAUGGUCCAUUUUAAAACUUCACAAACCUCAACGGUGUGAAAUGUAGUUGACCCGAAUUCUUUUAUCAUUUUAAAACUCCACAAACCUCAACGGUGUGAAAUGUAGUUGGCCCGAAUUCUUUUGUUCAAUUUUUUGCAUGAUCUCAUCUUGCCUUACAUAUUCCUCUUCGUCCACUGCUUUUUUUUUUUAUCUUCUUUUAAGUAAAAUUGUAGAGGAGAGAUUCGAACUUGUGGAGUUUGGGUGCGAUAGAGAAUUCUAUGAUCCAAUAAACUACAAGUCCCUUAUCAUUCAUUUUUAAUUAUAAUCGGACAAUAGUCUACUAUUAAAGUUGAAGAAUAUGAGUUAUGAGCUAGUUAUAAUUAAUAAUUCAUCGAAUAAUUGAGUAAAGUCACACAAUGAGCCUAUACAAUAUGUAUGGCAUAAGUUCAUUACUACGGUGGUGUCUUGUGCCUAUAACAUAAUGACAUGUGUAUAAAAGGUAACACAUGUCUUUGUGUUAUUGCACAGGACGUUACAUGGUGAUGAACUCAUAUCAUGCAAAUCCUUCUCUACAAUAAACAAGUUAUAAUAAUUUAUCGAACACAUCAUCCACUUGAGUCAAAAACUUAUGAUCUCUCUUACUUAUAACUAGAGAAAGUACCGCUAAAAGAAGGUAGUGAUACUUCAUCUACGUAGCUAUCAUUUUCUUUUCUAUGUCCUUGUUCCUAUAAUUUCCUAGUAUUCCUAACCAACUGUACAUGAUUUUCAAAAUCAAAUAGAGAAUAUAUAUGUGUUUAUCGUAGAUCUAAAUUCGAAUUCUCUUUCUCCAGCUUAAUUCAGGUUUAAAGAAGAAUAAUAUCGUUUGUAUAAAGAAAAUUCCCAAGCGGGAUAAUUUUGUUUGUAUAAUUUAGAUCUUAAUUGCAUGGUAACUACACAUUAAAGCUCUUCAACAUUUUUAGUUAAAAUCAUUGCUAUGAAAUAAUUAUAUUUCUUUCCGUAAUUGUAAAUUAUUCUAACAAGAUUGUUACUAAUAAUUUUAUGGUGGAUUUUUUUCUCAUCACUUUUAAGUGGUAAUGCUGACCAGCCUAGUUAUUACCAUUGGAUAAGUUUAAAUUUUAAGAUUGAUAUCUAUCCAUUACACAUAUUUCGAAAUUUAAAUUUAUCGAAAUAUGAUAAAUAGGGUAAUAAAUACCACCAUUACUUGGCAUAUUACCAAAAUUUUAUAAUCAAGAACUUGAUAGCAAAUGUACCUGGCCGAAAAAAAAGCACUAUUGCAAAUGUGAGACCUUGUGGAUGGUAGUGGUACCUCUAGCUAGCAACUAUAAAAGCAUAGUUCUUCUGGUGUUUUUUUUUCACAGAGAAUUAAAAUUUAAUUUUCUUCAAAUUAACGAGCAAUAUAGCAUGGCUUGGUUCAAUGGAAGUUCAGCACUGCUGCUAGUCACGCUGGUUUUGUUCACAGUCACCAUUUGUGAUGCAUUCAAGACAAGAUAUGUUAGAGUCACAAAUAAUUUGGAGGGGGGCCAGACCCUCAGCCUUCACUGUAAAUCCGAGGACGAUGAUCUUGGUCUCCAAACGCUCGCGACGAACGCCUCCUUUGAAUUCCACUUCAAACCUAGCUUUAUCACCAUAACGAAGUUUGAUUGCAGUUUUGAGUGGCCAGGUGCAUCGCACUGGUUCGAAAUAUAUAAUCAUGAGAGAGAGAAAGUAUAUUGUAGCAAGUGUUACUGGAGUGUUACCACAGCUGCUCCGUGCAGGUACGACUGGGACGAGCAAAAGUACAGCAAAUGCUUUAUGUGGAGUUAAUCAAGUCAAUUAAUCUAGUUUUCUAUGGUUUAAAUUGGAGGUUAUGUAAUGGAAGAUGAACUAGUAUUCACAUGUAAUAAUUUAUAUCGGGAAUAAAUAAUAAGGGUUCAAUUGUUAUAUUCAUUUAUUUUUGAAAGUUUAUGGUGACAUUUCACAUGCAUAUGAUUUUGUAAUGUCAUACGUACGUUGUUGUGACUUAUGACACUAUUUAUUCACUAGCUAUUAUCUUGUGGAAGAUGUGAAGGGUAGAGCUUUCCUGCACUAACGUGCCAACCUCCAUACAUGUAUACUAGCCUUGUUUUAUAUGGAGGAUUAGCCACUAUUUUUAGGGUAGGUUAAAGGAAAAAAGAAAAAAAUUAAUAAGGGCAAACUUGAAGGUCAGAGAAAACUUAUCCAUUCAAUCUUUCCCAAAACGGGAGGAUUAGAAUGAAGAUGUUUCCUUCAAAUCCAAUCCCCUUAAAAUCAUCUCAGGAUAAAAAUUAUUUUCGUAUAUCCUUAAUAUACAUUGAAUUUGGAUGAUUAUCCAUUCCUAUCUAGUCCUCUAUACCAAAGGAAGCCUUUAUGUGCUUAGAAGGAAGUUGUUGGAGGACAAGGGACAAGAGAGAUGGUGUGAACCGUAUGGUGUAAAAUUUUAAAACUCCAUUGAUUGCAAGAAUUAUAAUUUCUUUAUUUAUCCAUUUGGUAAUAGGCUACCUAGUUCGAUUAAAAAAAAAAAUAAGAACAAAUUGCCUAGCUAGAAUUGUACAGAAGGAUUUUACUGCAGAGUUUGUAAAUAUUCAGCCAGCACCAUAAUUCUUAUCUUUUAUCCCUGAUUCUUUGUAUAUAUCCAUGAAGUUUAGUCCUAAUCUAUUAGGUUCUAUGAACCUCAUGUAUUACCAUAACCAUAGCAUUCCAAAAAGGUCACUAUACCAAACGUGAAACCAUAUGAAACCCUAACUAGCAACUACAAAAGAACGAGGUGCACUGUGCACAUAUCCUUGUGCAUCAGUUUUAAUUUCCAUCAAGACAAAAUUUCUUCAGGAAAACUAGCAUGGCUUCGUUCACUGGAAACACCUUGUUGCUGGUGCUGCUUAUAUUUUUCACAAUGACCAUGUUUUGUGCAGGAGUAGGUUCGAGAAGACACAUCAAAGUGACAAAUGAUUUGGGCGAAAACUCAACCCUAACCGUCCAUUGCAAAUCCAAGAACGAUGAUAUUGGUGAAAAAGUGCUUGCCCUUCAUGAUUGGUUUGAAUUUAGCUUUCGACCUAACGUAUGGGACAGUACGCUAUACUACUGCAGUUUUGCGUGGCCAAAUAAUUUUAAGUGGUUCGAUAUAUACAUAGACAAGAGAGACCGAGAUGAUUGUCGUUUGUGUUACUAUAGUGUAGUACCAAAUGGCCCAUGCAGGUUUAAUUUUGACACCAACAAAUAUGACAAUUGUUUUAAGUGGAACUGAAAGUUAGUUUGAUUGUCAUUGUACUCCAAUCAAUCUUUCGUUUUGGUUUUGAUGUGAAAUGUAAAAUGAUAUCGUAUGAUCGUAUCUGCAUUUACUGAUUUACAUCUUUGAAUAAAUAGCAAGAGAUUGAUUGUUAUUUAUUCUUUUUACAUGGGUUUGAUUUUUGCUUGAAUAAAUUGAUAAGAAGACAUUUUGUUUCUUUUUUACAAGCAGACCUUGAUUGUUGUUGGAGGGCCAUGGGUUUGAAUAAAUUGGUAUAAGGUUAUUUCUAAAUGGAAGGGCUAAACAUAGCAUCAUCCAAAAUUAUAGCUCUGCAAUAACUAAAACUUAUUAGACACGUGCCGCCCUCUUGCAUCCAAAUUCAAGUUGGCUAGAUUAUCGCCCUACAAAAAUUAAAAUACAAAUGAUUAUAAACUUGACGAUAGCCCUCACUUUGAAAUUGCAGGGAAGCUAACAUUAGCUAACAUUAGAAUUUACUUUGGUGAUCCAAAAUCUUGGAGGAAGCUGGAUCACAAGGUUUUUUUUUUUUUUUUUUUAACCGAUAUUAUAUAACUUGCACUAAUAAAAGUGGGGUGGAUUUUGCCUCAUAAUCGGUUGACAAUGAUGUGGUUCAAAUUUGCAUUUGGUGAGAAUUGAAUCUAAAACAUCUCACUUACAAGUGAAAAUGAAUACUAUUAAAUCAUCGUACUAAGUGGUAGUUGGAUCACAAGUUAAGUACAUAACUUUUCUUGAAAAAUCAAAAGUUAAAUUUGCUACUAUAUACUUAUAUAGUAUUACAAUUUACAUUUAAGUAGUAUUUUUCUGCAUUGAUAAGUUAGAAGUACGUGUGAGUUUGAUAUCAAAUUAUUGUAGUCGUUCAAUUACGCAACUCAACCCAAAUUUUAUUUUGAAAGUGCUUUUAAAAUGAUUGAAAAUAUUUUUCGAUAAAAGUACUUUUGGAACUAAUCUUUAAUAAUAAUGCAAGUAAAUCCUAGAAAAACACUUGAAGUAUUUCCUACAAAAAACACACGAUUAGAGGCUUCUUCCACAUUCACUUCAAAUGCUUUGAAAUUGAAAAAACACUUUCACCAAUAUCGCUUUCAGUUAUUUUAAAAGUAAUUUCAAACAUGUUCGACCAAAAAAAAAAUUCCAAACAUGUAUGUAGUGCUUAAUAUAGCAAAUUUGAGAAUGACGGGAUUGGUCGGUGUCAACGGUGCAAACGUUUUUUCUCCUAUGAGAACGGAAUAAAUUAAAGUGAUUGGAUCGAAAGAAAAAGAAAUCAUUGCAUUUGCAUGUCUGAAAAUAGGAAAGGAGAGACAAUGAUAUUUGCUAGGGCGAAAACGGCGGGUUCCCACGGAUGGCUGUGGACCAAUAUCUCACGUCUCAAUAUCUGUCAAAGCUGUUUAAUUUCCUCUUUUAUCAAAACCAUCAAUUUACAAAUUUGCACUUAAUAACUGCCUUCCUUGAAUCUUUGCUUUUUAUCUUCUGCCUUCCAUUAAUCUCAUUGUUUAGUUUGGAAGGAAUCCCAGAUUUUUUUUUUUACACAAAAAAGAAAUUAAAUUACAUUUCUGUUGCUAACAUAUGCAUGCAUGUUUUUUUGGAUAUGAUUUUUUAGGGUUCAAAUUGGAGAAUCAAUAUAUAAAUAUAUAUACACACACUUUAGACCACAAGGUUAGCUCUAUACUUCCAUGAUCCUUGUUCUUGUUUUGUUUCUUGGGGCUGAGAAAUUUUUAUGUUCUUAUUCAGAAUUUCAUUAGGGUUUGGUUUGAAACAGGUAAAGAAUAAAUCCAUAUAUAUAUAUAUAUAUGUAUAUGUAUUGAUGCGUGACUUUCUUUUUAUUAGGGUUGUUAGAUUCACGUUCUUCACAAAAUUUUCAUAUGGGCUUUAUUCUGAUUCAAGGGAUAUUUUAAUGUAGACCAAAUAACAGGGAGGGGGAUUCGAAAUCGAACUUGGGUGCAGGAGGGGAGCACACUGUAGUAAACAACUUGCUUACGCCCAGGCCUGCGAUAUGGGCUUUAUCAGUAACAGGUAGAGCUUAUACAUAGAUGUUAUGUGUAUUAUGUGUGUAUGUAUAGGCAUAGAAUUUGCAGAUGGAACAUGUUGAUUUCUAUGUAUGUGUUGAUUGUGGAGAAUGUGAUGAAACAGUGAUGCCCGUGUUCGACGAUGGAAUUCUUGUUGAUUUCUUGGCAUAGAAUUCUACUUCCACCUCAUGGAUUCUGAUAACCGUUACAACAACGACGACAACAAGAGCAGGAACAACGAUGCAUCCACAAUAAAAAUAAAUUCUCAUGUUGAGGUCCGUUUUAAAUUCUUUAGUUGUAUGUGGUAAUGGUAUCAAAGGCAUUUCCUUCGAUACCGGUGAUGAUUUUUGGUAACAAUGAUUUUGAUUCCACAGAUGGGAUCAACGCAAUCCAAAUCAGUGUUUGAGUUCGAGGAUCAGAGCCUAGUUGGUCCCGAAAAACAUUCUUUGGAUGAGGCUCCCCUCAGAGCUCUAUAUUCUGGUGGUGCAAAUGACUGCUGUCCCCAUGUCCUGAAGAACAGUGUCGCUGAUAGCAUCAGGACUGUAGUUUUCUCUGCCAAAAUUAACCUGCUCAUGCCUUUUGGCCCUUUGGCAAUCGUGGUUGAUAAAUUAACCGGUCAUCAUGUGAGUUACAUUAUAUUUUUCUGUGUGUGAAUCUUUCGGAUCAUCACACGACACGAUUGUAUGCUUGGUUAUUUGAUUCUUCUUAAUGCAUUUCAGGGUUGGGUCUUUCUUUUAAGCUUGUUGGGAAUCAUACCCUUGGCUGAGAGAUUAGGAUACGCAACAGAGUAAGAUUUCUUGCAUUCUCUUUGUAUUUUCUUUAUUUGCUAACAUAAUGUUUACCGAGUGGAAUCCAACAGCCUGGACUGAACAUUUCCAGUAACUUGAUGUGUUAGAGAACCAACAUUUGUUACCGUAUUGUAGCAUAUUAGGGUUUGUUCCGCGCGCACAUGAGCCCGACAUCCAUACCAACUUUGCAGUUAAUGUGCAUUGUAGAGUACCUAAUACAGAUUGGCUUCUUUUGAUGCAGGCAGCUGGCUUGCUAUACUGGACCAACAGGUAAGCUGUUGCUAACACAACUACCGUUUUUUAGACUCCCCGUCACAUUUUACAUCUUUAGGUUUUACGAAAAGCUUGAGGAUUUGAGUAUCGUAAAAACUUUAAGUUUGGUUUUGAGCACAGUAAAGUAGUAUCGGAUAUUCAGAAUGGACUUUGUGGAUUAUUGUGAUAUUAAAAUUAUCAAUUUGUUAAUUUUGCAGUUGGAGGUCUUUUAAAUGCCACCUUUGGAAACGCAACGGAAUUGAUAAUAUCAAUUUAUGCUCUGAAACGCAGCAUGAUUCGUGUUGUUCAACAGUCCUUACUAGGCUCAAUCCUGUCGAACAUGCUGCUCGUGCUUGGAUGUGCAUUCUUCGCGGGUGGACUUGUGCAUUCAAAGACGGAGCAAGUGUUCAACAAGGUAAAUUUUCAUCUGAAAAAGGAGCACUUGUUUAGUUGGUUUUAUUUUCGCUCUUCUACCGUCCAUCUCAUUUGCUUGCAAAUAAAGCUCAAAAUGUCUAUAUUCUCAGGGAACUGCUGGAGUGAACUCUGGAUUGCUAUUGAUGGCAGUCAUGGGUCUGCUCUUUCCAGCAGUACUGCACUCUACUCGGACAGAGUUGCACUAUGGGAAGUCUGAGUUAUCCCUUUCGAGAUUCACUAGCUGCAUUAUGCUCGUCGCCUAUGCUUCAUUUCUGUUUUUCCAAUUGAGAAGCCAGCAUAAUUUGUAUAUUCCAGUUAAUCAGGUUGGUACAAGUCUUUGCCAAUACGGACCUCAAACCGUGUUACUAAUUCUUACGCUUUCACUGUUCAAGUAUGAUGAAUUUGAUCUGGUUUGGUACUUUGAAAAAAAACUGCUGUGAGAAUAAGCAGCUGUGCUGUGAGAAUAAGCGGCUGUGAAAUAAAUCAGCAAAGUGUUUGGUAAACUUUUUUGUAAAAGUGCUUUUGGAAAAAAAAAAAACAGUCUGAUAGUUGGUCUUUUCAUUAAAGGAGCACUGUAGCUCCGUGUGCUUUGAAAAAAAACCAGUUUUCCAAAGCUGCAAAUAACAGCUUCAGCUUUUUCCUUUGAUUUAAGCUUAUUCUCACAGCUUCCAAAAUAAGCCAGUUUUUUUAGUUUACCAAACACCUAAAACCCUCACAGCUUUUUUUCAUGGGUGCUUUUUUUUAAGCACCUAACUCCCAAACCACCCCUAAGUGGUGUUUGUGCAAUUUCUCCUCUAUGUGAUCUAACGGUGUAUAUGAAUUUGGUUCAAUACCAGGCAGAGGAUCAGACCGAAGAAAAUUCAGAUGAGGAAGAGGCUCCUGAGAUCACUAAGUGGGAAUCCAUAAUAUGGUUAUCAAUUCUGACUGCGUGGAUUUCAGUCCUCUCGGAAUACUUAGUUAACGCUAUAGAGGUAACAUUCUUGUUUAAUCAUUGUCUUAUCCUCCAGUUUUGGAUGAUGUGAAAUUUUUAUAGUAUUUUUGUGGGGUUUGUAGUGAGGAAUCUCUUGUGUUGUUUCUGUAAUUUUUUUUCUCAGGGUGCAUCUGUUGCAAUGGGCAUCCCGGUUGCAUUUAUUAGUGUUAUUCUGCUCCCAAUCGUUGGAAAUGCAGCAGAGCACGCUGGUGCUGUUAUGUUUGCCAUGAAAGACAAGCUUGUAAGUGGUUGUCCUGUCGGUUCCAUGUUUAAAUACAAUCACUCAUGACUUAUCAUCGCUUCCUUGUGGACGUUGGCUUAAUGUUUGAUGCAGGAUAUUACUUUGGGUGUGGCAAUAGGCUCAUCAACGCAGAUCUCAAUGUUUGGAGUGAGUACCAACUAUCAUACAUAUGAAUUUUACACUGACAUUUUACGAUGAUUUUAUCUCUGCAGUACAUAAAUGUGAUGUCAUGAUGGUUUCCUUUUCGAUUGCUGCAGAUUCCGUUUUGUGUGGUGGUUGGGUGGUGCAUGGGGUGCCCUAUGGACUUAGAUUUCCAACUGUUUGAGACAGCGACGCUUUUCAUAACUGUUCUGGUGGUAGCCUUCAUGCUGCAGGUUCGUCAUUUGAGCAAAUCAUAAAUCUUUCGAUUUCUUACUUGAUUGCUUUUAUAGGAAAUACUUCAGGUUCUUUGUGCACAAACGCACUAGAUACACAUGAAUUUCAGGGUUUGUGCCGUGUUUCCUUGUGUCAGCGGGCGCUACAGCGACCAUUUUUCCUUUGUGCAAUGUGUCUAAAUGGGCUGAAAUUGAACUUGCAGGAGGGAACAUCUAAUUACUUCAAAGGACUAAUGCUCAUUCUUUGCUACAUUAUCGUCGCUGCGAGCUUCUUUGUACAUAGAGAUCCUAAAGCGAUUCGUGAGUUCUCCCCUCCUUAAUUUUCUCUCAAGUGGCCCGUGGAUAAUUGAUCCGACUUUUUACAGUUUCGAACGAUUGUUUUUUCUGCUUGCAUAUUCAAUUCAACAGAAUGCAGCACAUUAUCUCUCUGUGUUUAGUAUGUUUCCUACUUGUGACUUGACGCACAUUUUCUCUGCAGAGGAUAAGCCCCAGAACCCGAAGCAGUAACUGAAUCAUCGAAGCGGGUGAUCAACUAAUGCGCAAAGCCGAUGUCAUGUACUGAAGAAGCGAGGUUUUUGCCGGCUGGACUCCCGGAAUCAUGACGAUUGAGAGUGACUUGUUUGGUAAUGCCGGAUAGUUUUCCAUGUCGAAAUUAGUACACCUGAUGCCCGGGAAUGUGUUGCUAUUUCCCUUAGUUUGCCUCGGAAGCCAGUGGAUGUAUGUAUUUCUGUCCCAAUGCCACAUUGGAGCAGAGAAGAGAGAGAUGGAUAUUAUAGGGUAAAAAGUUUAAAUUUGGUGCUCAAAAAAUAGGAAUGGUAAUAGUCUAAUGUAAAAGAUUCAGUAAAUUAAGGAUGUAUGACAUUGUAAUGCUUUAAAAAUAAGGUAUGAGUUUAUAAUUGUACCAAAAUUUGAAGGUACAAAUUGUACCCUUUGAAAGUUGAUGGCAUGUCGGUUUUAGGAUAAUUACAUGUUAGAAUAUGAAGCACGUGAAACACUAUGAAAGAAUAUGAAACACAUGAUAGAGAUGUAUAAACACAAAACACAUGAAACACACAAAACACAUAUGAAGCACAUACAAAACACAUGAUAGAGAUGUAUAACACACCAAACACAUGAGACACACGAAACACAUAUCAAAACACAUAAAACACAAACCUACACACAUGAAACGCAAACCUUCAAUCAUCUUCUAUAUAAGCAUAGGUAUUUAUAGAGUUUUUUGGUGAAUUUUGAGUUAAAUAUUUUUUUAUAAUUAUUUUAGCUAUUAGAUUUAAAUUUGGGCCAUUAGAUUUUUUUUUUUAGAUUUGGUUAUAUUUGAUUUCAGUCAUUGGAUUCAAUAAAUAUAUAAAUAUAAAAAAAAAUUGAACGUGGACUGUUGGAUCAAUCAACGGCCCAUUUAAAUGUGGUCGUUGGAUCACAAAAACUAGUUGUUAGGCUAUUAUGGCAUCUGACACGCGGGGCAUGCUCACGUGGGUGGGGUCCAACUGGUGCUGCGCCUGCUGCAUUUGGCCCGUCCGAGAGUGAGUUUUGGGCGUUUGGGCUUCACAUUAGUUUUUUCACUCUCACAUGUGGGCUCCACCAUUAAUUUUGGGUUAAAUCUUGGUUGGUAUUUGGGGUUUUUUAUUGGUAUUUGGGGUUUUUUUAGGUUCUAACACUUAACCCAAUUUUAGAACAAGGGUUUAUUGGGGGGGGGGGGAAUAGAAGGGAAAAUUUAAGACUUACUCCAAGGGUUAGAGUUGGUCUAAGGGGUGGAGGAGUGGACUCAACUCACUCAAGUCCAAACCACCCGAACCAAAUCUUUCAAAAUUAGCUAUGUUUGAUUUUCCUAGGGAUAUUUGUUAAAAUCAAACCGAACUGCAAUUGUUACAUUGCAAUCGAUUCAGUUGAGAUUUUGAGACAAAACGAGACAAUCAAGACGGUGCAACUGCAACUCAAACUUUAAAAAUUCAAGAAGUUGUAAAAUCGACCAAUUGGAAAAGCCAAUGAUUUUGAUAAGGAAACUAAUUUUCAGACAUCAUUUUUAGUCUUUCAUGUAGUCCUCUUUACUUGUGAUUAUCAUAUUUAACUAGUCUAUCCACACACGUUAUACGUGUGUAAUUAAAUUUGUCUAUGUUUGUUAUAAAAAUAUUUAUAUCACUUCUUUUAAAAAAAAAAAAAAUUGGGCGUGGACUUUGAAGAAGGGGUUAUGGGUGGUUUUGAAGUGCGGAGACAUGAGUUAAAUAAAUAAAUAAAUAAAGGCUUGUUUUAUUAACACCCCAUAUUUUGUUGACUACACUCCACAUGCUUCAUACACCCUACAUCUACUUUUUAACUAAAAAAUUAUCUUAAUACACCCCACUUAUUUUCCAAUACUACCCUUACACCCCACACCCCUCUACAUAAACCUCACACCCUACUUAAACCCUACAAUCAAACUCUUCCUUAAUUAAAUUAUUCAAAUAGUUUUUUAUGCUUUGUUUUUCUGCGAAGAACUUGCUAGAGUUUUGGGGGAGAAGAUAGUCAUAGAUUUCUCAAAUAUGUGGAUCACAUUAUGAGAAGAAGUAUAUGCCCAUGUUGUCUUUCUUGCUUAUUUUAUGUUUGAAUAUUUCUGGGCAACUGUAGCAUCAAAGAAGAAAUUUUAAUGUUACGAUUCAUGCCUAGUAUCUAAAGCUCCACCCAAAAGUUCCCUUUGCAUAUCAAUUAGCGAUUUUAAAUGAUUUUCAUGCAAAGGAAAAUGUAUGUCAGGAGAUGUAUUUAUGAAGAAAUAUAUAAGCACAUGCAUUUUUUUUUUAAAUUCUAAUAAUACAAAAGUUUGAGAUGACAUUUUAGUUUCAAACUUACGGAUGAUAUAGAUGUUGGAAUCAAUCGAAGUUACAAAUUAUACAAAUGUUGUAGUCAAUACCCAAGUGAUAGAGCUAUGGACGACGUCGAAGCCUCCAAAACAUUGAUUUCAUGUUUCAUUCGUCAAAAUUAACCUCUUUUUUUCAUUAACUAUGUUGUGCUUUUAGUUAGGGUUUUGUUUUAUAAUGGAGGUGAGAGUAUAUUCAAGAGCUUGAAAGAAAACAAUCUUAGAAUACAUAUUGACAAAUAGUUGGGGUGUAUUCAGAAAAUAAUUUUUGUUUUUUAAUACAUAUAUGGCCUAAAUAGUAAUUGCAUAUUAGGGUAUAUAAGUUAUUUAGUAAUAAAAUAUUAUGUGAGGUUUAUUCAACACUUAGUUGGGUGCUAAUAAAAAAAACCUAAAUAAAACCUCCUCCAUUUUUCAUUUUAUCUUAUAUUUUUAAAUAGAUCUGUUAUGUUUACCUAGCUAUGAGGUUUGUGUAAAAAACUGAAAGUUUGAGUGGUGUGUAAUUACUAAAUUAUCAUAUCCUUUAUUUUUAUUUACCUUUAAUGAGAGAAUUACAAUAAUAAUUUUAUUAAUAAGUAGCUUAAAUAAAUCAAACGAAAACAAUUCAUUAAAUUGAACAGGGGUCGUGCAUGAGUUCAAUUCAACCGGAUAUAUGGUUAUCUUUCCAUUUUGUAAUAUAUAAGGGCGAAAACGACAUUUUAUAUUUAGCCUUAUUUACCAAUUGGCCCCGUAUCUUACACAUCCGUUUUCAGUUGAGCACAGGACAGCCAUUCUUGGUAACGACGUGGCCAAUCAUCAUCACACACUAUUUCGACAAAAAAAAAAUAAAAAUAUAUCAUCAUCGCCCGCUUUACCGCGGCCCGGGGAAUUCUACCCUAUCAAAAAAUCCCAAUUCCAAAACCCUAAUUAUAAAACUGCAAACUUGGAGAGGCUGAGAAGAAGAAGAAGAAGAAGAAGAAGAAGAGAGUGGCAGAGUUGAUUUUCUACUAUCUUCUCCAAUCUUUCACUGCUCCAAGUAGAUUGAAGAAUUUCAGAAGGCAUUGGGCUUCGAUCGAUUCACACUCCAAAAAGCGUCGCCGGAAUCACUGUAAAGUUACUAUGGUAAGUGUUUCCGAUCAAUUCAAUCUCACAAACCGUAGAAAAUUGAUUUAUUUUCGAUAAAAUCGUGUACUAGUUCAUGGAUUACUGUGCUUUGUCAUGGAUUCGGAUUUUCGGUUUUUGGAUGAUUAGGCGGGUCGAGGUGGAGGUAGGGACCGGUUUCCGGAGAGUCGCGGUGGGCACGGGCUGCGGCGGUUGGACUCCAAAGGUGGGAAAGCUCCGCCUUCCAGGAACCUAUGGGUUGGUAACCUUUCUCAUAGUACCGUGGAGGAAGAUCUCGUUAAUCCCUUUCUGCAGUUUGGAGAGCUAGAAAGCGUAGCCUUCCAUCCCGGCCGGAGUUAUGCCUUUCUUAAGUUCAAGAGGGAAGAUGAUGCAAUCGCUGCCAUGGAUUCCCUCCAGGAUCUUCCUGUUGCAGGCAACCCACUGAGGAUCGAGUUUACCAAGGCGGUUAGUUACUUUUUAUUCAAGAUGCUAUUUUUCUAUCUUUGUUGUAAAUAUAUGCGAUGUUGUAAGUGUGCACUGAGUAUGUUUGUGUAUAAUAUAAGUUGGUUAUCUGAAUCGAAGGCCAUGGUAGUUGUCUUGUUCCGUUAUCUUUGAUUUUGAGCAAGAAUAUAUUCCACAGUUUACCAAAUUAUGAUGUCUAAUCAGCUAAUCAAAAUGCUCCAUGAAAAAUGCAUAAUGAUUGUAACAAUGCCACAAUCCACAAAAAUUAUUACAUCCGUAAGUAUAAGAUACUCCUUUCCAGCAUAAUCAUAAAGCUGACAUGCAAUGCUAAUGUGUACAACAACAAAAAUAUAAGUCCCUUUAUUUUAAUAGGGAGCACAUGUAAGGCUAAAUCGAGGCACAUGUCCUCUGCUCAUUCCACGGUUUUCGUCGUGACCAUUCCUAGCAUUCCACAUUUGAACUUUCAAGAUUAAUUCUUUGAAGGUGAACACAUGCAAGGGGAUGCAAACCAAAAGCUCUUUUCUUUCCAAAUGUUUAAUGACAAAACUUGUGACGUAACAUAAUAAUUAUGGGUUGCAUACCUUAUCUAUGAAGGAUGAACAGCCCUGGACUUUUUCCUUGUAUCUUUCCAUAAGAGUAGCUGGAAGCCAUCUACAAGUUGGGCUAGUUGAGGUUUAAUUUAACCGCAAAAUAUGUUGAAUGCAGUGACAUUUAUGCCAUGGCUAGCGUCUCUUAAACCUCCCAUAAGUAAUUUAUCACUACUUAAUAAAGAAGGGCACCGCACACCAUUUUGUCCCUUUUAUCAAUUCUUACUGUCAUUCUUAUUGUCUAUCUGGAGUCAUAAUGCACAUUUCAUAAACUAUGCUGGUGUUUAUAGUUGGGUGGGUUUGAGUGCUGAACCAGCAAUUUUCAAUGUAGUUGUGAUUGUUAGUCCAUUGCCUCAUGUGAAAUUAACAGGUUUCAGGGUAUGCUCUUACACCAAAUUCACUGUGGGGUGGCAUUUUAAACACACAGCGAGAUUUUUUAUAGUACAUAUGAAAGAUUUUGCUAGUGUCAUCUUUUGUAUACACUUGUUAGGGAUGCAAUGUACUUAAUAAAAGAAAAGGGCGAUUAUCAAACCCAAACUAAAAUUUCAUCUAUUAUAUCAAGAGACGGGUGGGAGAAAUCUAAAGAAUUUGUUGUUGAUGUUCCCACCAUUGAGAGAUUGGUCAAGAUUAUGUUUGGUAGGACUAGUUCCCAUACAAGACAAAAGUUUCAGGAAUCAAUCUGUUUACUACUCAGGUGUUAGAGCUUUUAGCAAAUAGCAUCAGAUCUGCAGUUCAAUACAUUUUUCGUUGAGAGAGCACGGAUCACCCUACGUUUUGUUAAUCAUGGAAACAUUUGGACUUUAAAAUACACAUGGUUGAAUUCACCAUAUGUUACUUUCUGUGUUGUCUGUUAAUUUUCCUCUCUUGUUCAUAAUCGUUUACGAUCUACCUUGCAACUUAAGAAAUUCUUAAUGACCUUUUUAAAAUAGUUGUGACCAUAUAUAUUAGAUAAUAGUUCUAAAGAUUAAAAGAGACAUUGAAAUUCCAAUUUAUCAUAUCAAAAUGAUCGUAUAACUAGCAAAAAAUUAAAACCCAUUGAACAAGAAGCAUAAAUAGUCACCUCCUCUUGCUCUUGCAAGGGUGAAAUAAUAUUUUGCUAUGCAACCUCUGCAAGUAUCUCCAAUAACAGUGUAACUCAAUUAAUAAAAUAAAAACAAAUUGAGUCGCUGAUGCAUGCUGCAAGACUGGGCCCGGUUCAAUGAAAACAUGAAAGACUUGGAAAUGGAUUCUUGUCCUCAAUGCAUUUGGCAUGUUUAAAGAAAGAUCCAGCCCACCCCCAAAUUUUGUUUAUUUAGUAUGCAGUAGUUAGAAGCAUCCUAUUCGGAUGCUGUAGCUCAGAUCACAAGAGGAAGAAAGCUUCUUGGGAUAAGACCAAUGUCUAGCAUGUGUUGGCUAUUCAUAUUCUGCAACUCCUCAACCACCGAUUAGUGUUUGAAUUAAUAAUUCAUAUGUAUGUUAAUAUGCUAUAAAAACUUGAUGAUGCUAUGGCGCUCCGAAUUGCAUAUUAUGUUUAGAUUCUUUUCAAGCGUGCUCCCAUAUAUCAGAUUCAAAUGCAGAACAACCAACGACUGCAGAUUGCAUGCAAACGAAUAGAAAUCUUUGUCUAAUUCACACUUCCAACAUUCGUUAUCUGUUAAAAGUAUGCAGCAGUGAGAACAGAGCUUCCUUCACGUUUUCGAUCUUAUGAAUGAUGCAUCACAAUCAUUACUGAUAAUAGAGUUCGUGCAAUCUGCAUUUCACUUCUUUCUUUCUCAAAUAAAAAGAAAAGUAAGUCUGUCGUGAAAAUCCAAUCCACUAUUUUAAUGUAACAACUGGAUACUUCAUGUUUUAGAUUACUCCGGUACCUCCAUUAUCUUCGGCUUUUGUUUCCGUAUCAAUUAUGAUUGUAAUACAAAUCUCAGGCUAGCCUUAGACCAGUUAUUCUUUUAUGUUUUGAGAACUUAUCUAAGAUGGGUUCAUGUGAGUUGAAAUAAGGCGUGUACCAUUUAGUACAUCAGUACAGCUGGAGCACGUUGAAGUCUCGUUUCAGGUUGGAACAUCUGAGCACAUUACUUAAUUCCCCAGAUAAAAGCAUGUCUUGCGAGAUAUUUGCCUGUGUUUACAAUCUUGGCCUUGGGAGGCCAAUGUAGUUUAAAGCACUUUCGGCUUUCUCUUAUUGUUCACUAAUUUGAUCCAGGUCAACAGUGUUAAAUUCCUGCAGUUCUUAAUGGUUUCGCAAUCUUGAUUAUUGCCCUCAGUGAAAAAUCUGUAACAGUUAUUGACCAAGUAUUUGUGUACUCUUGCUAGCAUGAUUUACAGUGUUUCGAGUCAUAGAAUAUUAUUCACAGUACUUAGAUGUAGUAUGUUCUUGUAGACUUCUUGUGCUGAGAUAUCUAUCCGUGAUUCUGAUUUGAAUAAUGAGACACAUUUAGCAGUUACCUUAGCAUGCUUAAUUUUGUGUGUGAAGCAGCAUUGUUCUGUGUUUUCCAAUGUUUGAGUGCAUCUUGUAGUAAGUUGUCCAUCAGCCUUUGUUUGAAAUUUUUUGUUGUGUGUCUGUCUACUACACUAGACUUUCCAAAUAAUUUGCAAAAUGAGGCUUGUUAAUUACUUAAUAAUGUAGAAGUAAAAUAGAAUAUGUGGAGAGCAAAUUUAGUGAGGAUGCUUUAAAUAGUUAUAGUUUAAUAGCUACCUUCAAAAAGAAAAAUAGGAACUGAAUAACAGAAUCAUUAAUGUUGAAUAUAAUUAGAUUCACUGUAAGGACCGUAAUGCAUGAUCUAGUCGAGAAGGAUGUUCAGGAUAUAUUGGUCAUUGGAGUAAUCUUUAUGUGAUUGAACCUGUUUGUUCCAGUUGGAGAGUUGGUAGUUAACUUUAAUAUUUCUUUCAAGAUCAACAAAACAGGACAGUAUUAAUGAUACAAAGCUAAAGUCAACCUAUAUUCGUCCAUAUAUAAGCUUGUUCUGUUCUUACUUUGAUAAAUCUCUUAUCGCAGGAUAAAUCAUCAGCACCAUCGCGUGAAGAAGAUUACUCCCAACGUCGAGAUGAACAACGUACAGCUCCAAGAGGAUCACCUUUUUAUCAAAUGGAGUUUAGAGCACGCCAGGAUAGUCCUGAGCAAUUUUAUCAGGAAAAAUCCAAUAUGAGUGAUAAGAAUGCAGAGCCUAGUGCUGUUUUAUGGAUAGGUUUUCCUGCUUUAUUGAAGGUGGAUGAAAUGAUAUUAAGGAAAGCUUUCUCACCGUUUGGUGAGAUUGAGAAGAUCACUGCAUUCCCCGGUCGUACUUAUGCUUUUGUUCGAUUUAGGAGUGAAGUGUCAGCGUGCAGAGCGAAAGAAGCUCUUCAGGGAAAAUUAUUUGGAAAUCCCCGGGUGCAUAUUUGCUUUGCAAAGAGUGAAACAGGCUCAGCUAAUAGUGGAAGGAAUUCAAUGAGUGUCCCUCCAUCCCCUCAUUUUCAGGUGAAUGGUCGCUCAGGAUCAUCUGAGAAUUUUCGAGAGGACACGAAAUUUGGGAGCUUCACAGGUAAUCCCAGCAUCAGAUCUCCUCAUUAUUUUCCAGAUUUUGAUGCUGUUGAUUCUGAUCCCUAUGGUUUUAAGCGGAAGGGGAAUUUAUGGAGAGGUGAAAACAAUAUGUUUGAACAGAGGAGAUACAAGGAAAUGAGGUCUGAACUAGGACUAUCAGAAGAUAUGUAUGAUCCUCGGGGUAGUCCUAAAAGAGAGAAAUAUUCUCAUUUGAAUGAUUAUUCACAGAGAUUUCCUCAGACAAGUCAACCUUAUGAAGAGCCAUGGGACUUGCCAGAAGAUAUUCAUUUAUUUCAUGGGGCCAAGAAAUUGAAGACAGAGUCUUUUCUUUCGAACAAAGAGUUUCCAGAGUAUCCCCAGUCUGACUACAACCCAGAAAGACAUGGCUUUUCUAGGUCAUACUCUGAUUUUCCCCAAGCUGACAGUUCCAAUAGAAACUUUGAGGGCGGGCCAUUUGGUUACAACCAGAUCCCUGAUCGACCAAUGAGUUUACCUCCAGCUCUAGAAGAAAGGGGUGACCGCUGGAAAGAAUCUUAUGAUGAUUUUCAGGUGAGCUCGGGUUCUCAGCUAGCAAAUCCUGUUGACAGGAGAAGGUUCACUCCUGAACGCGAUCGGCCUUCUUUCAAUGUGUGGAAAUGGGAAGGGACUAUAGCAAAGGGAGGAACUCCUGUCUGUAAUGCUCGUUGCUUUCCUGUGGGCAAACUCCUUGACUUCACAUUGUAAGUAGUAAAAUAUUUUUGCGUAAGUCAAUUUCUGGUUACUUGCAUGAUUAAUUGAACAGAAUCAUUCUCCAGAUAAAAAGAGAAUAGAAUGAAUAGAAUCAAGAAUGUGAAAAGGCUAUAUUUACAUAUUGCCUGUUGUCUUUUAUCUUUAACAGUAGCUGAUUACUAUAACUUCUUGCUUGUUGCGUGUCUGUCAGUAACACGCCAUUUCUAUUAAUGCACAGUAUGCAUUUUUGUUAUCAACAUCAUAACAAAUUACUUAGAUGUGUCAGAAAUGGAAGAGUUCCAGUUAAUUUUCCGUGCAUUUUAGAGUUCAUAAAACUGUGGCUGCCUGGUAUUGCGGCUGAUGUAUCAAAUAAUCAGAACAUUAGCUGCAACAGUUUUAAUUUGCUUUUUCGUUGUUUUUUUCCCCAGUAAGAAGAGGAUUAUCUGUAGGUGACCCAAUUUUAUUGAAUUUCAGAAUCAUCUCAUUUUCAGCUACAUUGAUAGAUUAGUAGAGACUAUACAAUCGAAUCCUUUUUGUAAUUUUGUCGAGUGGUUUGGUCUAAUUCCCUUUGUCACUCUGCAUCGUGAUUAUAACAUUAUUGAUAUUCAUGUCUGAUUCAAACUACAUGGCGCAAUCUAGAUAGACUAGUUCAUCUGCUCUGAAAACAAAAUAAUUUUUUUCUAAUGUUUCGUCACACAUGAUAGUGUUGGAUCUAAUCCGUUAUUAGCACCAAUGAUCUGCUGCAGGCCUGAAUUUUUGGAUUGUACUGCAAGGACUGGUCUAGACAUGCUUUCAAAGCAUUACUAUCAAGCAGCAAGUGCUUGGGUUGUGUUCUUUGCCCCACAAAGUGAUGCUGAUAUUGGAUACUACAAUGAAUUUAUGCAUUAUCUUGGGGAGAAGCAGCGAGCAGCCGUUGCUAAGUUAGAUGACAAGAAUACCUUGUUUCUUGUGCCCCCGUCAGACUUCUCAGAGAAAGUGCUGAAGGUACCAGGGAAACUCAGCAUCUCCGGUGUUGUUUUGAGGUUAGAAAAUCCUAGUUCCAAUUUUGGAUCGGUACACCAACAACCCGAAAGAAAAGACACGAGAUUAUUGUCAUUGCCUGGGGAUACAUCAUAUACAAAGCCAUCAACAGCUUCAGAAUCUAUUCAUUCAUUUACAUCAGCUCCACCGGUGUCAUUUUCAGGUUCAGCUUAUGGUGUUGGAAAUGGAUCUGAUUCUUACAACGAGAGCAGGCACGAGUAUCCACAUCAUAUGGAAAGCCCUGCAUUGGGGCGAAACUGGUCUUCACACAAGCCGCAAAACUCAAUUAUGGAUACUAGAAAUAAAUCAACCCAAAUGCCCAAUAGUUCCAUUGAUUCUAUUUUUCAGGAGCAUAGGAUCAUGCAAAGGGAAGCACAACAGUCGAGCAUUCCAGGUGGAAUUUCUCGUAUUCGAAACAGCCAUUCGUCACAGCAGGAAAUCCAAUCUCCUGGCUUUUUAUCUGUGCCGUCUGAAUCCCUGCAACCUGAGCAACUUGCACAAUUGGCAUCAUCUCUUGGGCAGCAGCAGAGGCAGUCUGCGAGAACUCCAAAUCCAGCUACCGGAGAAGAUUUUAGACAAAGAAACACAAUGAAUGAGUCUGAUAACAUUCCAAGGACAUCCCAGACAUUUGGUAUGCAGAAUAAUGAGGUGAAUUCACAGCCAUCAACAUCUCAGUUUGGUCAAGUCCAACAGUUGCAGCAGCGGCAACAGCAGGUAUCAACUGUGUCUGCAGCGCCUCACACUGUCCAAACAGCGGUUCAGGGAAACCAACAACUGCAAAGCACGAGUACAAAUGAAGCAGUAGAAACAGAUCCACAGAAACGUCUGCAAGCGACAUUACAGUUGGCAGCAGCUCUUCUUCAGCAAAUCCAAGGGAAAGGAAGUUGACCAGUACUGGAAUAUGAUCGUGCUGGUCUCAUCUAUUUUUUGAGAGUGAGUGACGGAUAAAAUUCGAAAUUCAACACCCGUAACGCAGUGCAGUUGCACAUGAAUUUUGAUUUUCCUAUAGUUUGAUGUAAAUCCUCUUCUUUCUUAUUUUUACUGUUGGGUUCAUGCAGUUUGAUGCUUAUUGGUUUGUUUUGUCCAAUGACUCGAAUGGGGUCGUGCUACUCAUCUACAUUCUAUAUUGACAGAAUUGAAGAAAGUUACCGGCUACAUUUGAUAGCUACUUUAUGGUUUUGUCCUUUUUUCUUUCAUAUGUUAGAUAUUCUUCGGCAGGGCUGCCGUAUAGGGCAUCUCUUUCACAGUCGUCAAUACGGCAGCCCUGCAAACAAGACUCAAUUGUGCAGGAACACUUGUAAACUUGUUUUAUGUAAUGUUUUUGUUAAUCGCGGGAACCCGUUUUUCUUUCUCCCACUUACAUAGUGAGAUUAGCAGAAAAGACCAGUAGUAAAGGAAAAGGAAUGAAGAACAAGGCAGAAUUUGAAGAGAGACUAUAAAAUUGUAUUGCCUUUAUUAAUAUGAAGACUUUUAAUGCAAAGUCAAAUUACAAAAUGAAUAUUUGACAAAAUAAAAUGUUACAAAAUCAAUAAGAAUGAAUGAAUACUAAUACUAUAGAACUUGUGCACCAUACAUUUGUGCUACAAACAUAGACAUUCUGACAGCAGCUCAUCAAGCCCAAAAACAGGAGACAUCCGGCUAAACGUAGAAGUAGGUCGAUGCAUCUGUAGCAUUUUCUGUAUCCCUGCAGAGAAUUGAUCGGGCUUCGAUUACUGAACGAGGGGGCUCAAGAUCUUUCUCUUGCAGCGCGUUGCCUUGUAGACGCUGCAUUUGGGAAGCAAACAUAUCGUCCAAUAUCUGCAGACAAAGCAUUAGUGAGAUUAGAAGGUACUGCAAUGAGUUGCCUCUUGCACCAACUAAGUACGAUUUCAAUCUGAAGCUACUUACCCCGAGAGCAUAAUAAGAUCCAUUGUACCAAACUCGGUUUUCCUUCCUGCCUUCAAGGAAUUUCAAAACGAUCUAGUACAGAAGAAUCGAAACAUGUCAGCGUUAAGAAGAUUUAGGAUUAAUGGUUGCGCGAAAUACAGGUCUCUCUAUUUACCUGUCCCGUUCUAUCCCAGAAUCCACGACAAAUUGCGAUAAAUAUUUUGCUUGUAAAGACCUCAUGCAAGUUGGAGAUGGAGUCGACAAGCUGUGAACUCAGUGAGUGCAUUCUUUCACGGACCUCUGCCUCUCCAUCAUCUUCCUUUGUUUCCUCUAGAAUCCUUUUCAGCGUUGUAUUACGGUUAGCUUGCACCUGAAGCAAUCAUAUAUGAGAAACCGUUGCUAGUUUUUACCCCGUUGGACGGAAGUUGAAGUAUUUGAACAAGAGGAAUAGACUUACAUUGCUGAGAAGCUUCCCUACGGUUGCCUGCAAGUAAUUUUUGUAUUUUGUUCUCAAGAGAACUGUAAUGCCAUUCAUCUGCUCCCCGAACAGCGACUUCUUGUUAUCGCCCAUGGCAGGAAGAAAAGAUGCCCAAGCCUUUAAGAUGUCUUCUACUUUACAAUGAAGGACAUCAAGAAUUCUCUUCACGGUGUUUAAAAAAGUUCCGAGCUGGGGAAUACAAGAUAUCGAUAAGAUAUAUAAGCAUAUUAGUAUAUGCAACAGCGACAUAUAAAUGUAUCAGUGUGGGAGGGAUGCCUUUAGGGUUUAGGGUUUAGGGAUGCCUUUAAGUGAAGAGAUCCCCAUUUGUUUUAUUAAAUGCGGAUUAGUUGUGGGGUCCACACCACAUUAAACUUCAAUGAUCGAAACCGUUUAUUUUUCAAGUUGCACCUUAAAGAUUAUCCAAAAUAUUAGCCAAACAAAAUAUUUAAGAAAUUUAUUGAGUUCAAAGAAAUUAACAAACGCUUUGUUCUAUAAGAAAUAAUGAAAUUUCAUCGUGAUAAUUAAAUAGGCAAAUAGUUUUGGAUUAAAUUGAAUUUUUGUAAGAAUGAUUUAUAAAUUGAGACUUAUAAAAAAAAACAGUUCGGAUCGUUGAAGUUCGGUGUAGAGUGGAUCCUACAACUAAUCCCCAUUUUUUUGAAAAAAAAAAAAAAGAUCCCUUUGCAUAAAGGGCAUGUAUAUCUGUGAGUGUGAGUGACACUGUUAGAAUUCUGACUAUCCUCUGAAUGUUGCUCUUUGAUGUAUCCGGCAAUAUACUUAACUUGGCAAUAUAGAGAAUAACUAGAAACACACAAGAUUUAUGCUGGUCCAACAUAACUUUUUCCUAUGUCAAGUAGUGAUUUCUAUGGAUAGAAACAUCAUGGCUUCUUUGGUUCAUAAUAGAGUACUUUUGCAAACCCUAGAAUUAAUCCCUCUCUUUCUUUGGUUCCUGUUUUCCAUUCCUUGAACUUUGCAAAAACCUCGGAAUCCUGAUUUGUGAAAUAAACUCAAACUUUCUGGAAAAAUCAUCCAUAAAAGUAACAAAAUACCUAGAUCCACAGUUGGAUUUAGUUAGCGCAGGACCCUAGACCUCUGAGUGAAUGCAGCCGACUCCUUGCUUUGUCUACCUACUUUGUGGAAACGGUUGGACCCCCAACUAUCAUAGCCGGGCUUGUCUAAACUGCCCUAGAAUAUCAAAUUCUUUUUCAAUCCCGGGACAUAUACGACGUUCCCCAAAGUCCUUAUCACUCCAUCCAACAACUUGAUUCUAACAGAAUUUUAUCAAACCAUUCUCUUACUACACACAUACAAAAUUUGUAUCUAGUAUCCAAAAUCUAUUUUGUGAAAUCCUUGGAGCCUGAUGUUACCGAAAGAAUCUCCCUAUCACUUUCUUCUUUGGUGAUUGCGCUAGCUGAACCUUAAAUACCUUCCAUUUUGGCUUCAUUCUCCUUCCAUCUUGCGACUCUUCCAAUGAUCGGCAGAAUCACAUUCGAAGCAACCUUCAUUUUUUUUUUCUUUUUCUUCUUGGAUCUUGACCUACCCAUGUUGCUGUUCUUCUCUUCCGUCGUCUUUUCCCGCCCCCUCUCAUUUGCUUUGGCAUAAAAGCCUUAAGAGCUUCUGGUUAUAUCAUCGAGUUUAGCAUAUGAUUGAAGGGCUUGAAUUACAUUCUCAAGCUACAGGGACUCCCCUCCAAACAUUAAAGUUGUUUGAAAGUUUCUUCGACCUUCUGAAGAUUGGCUAUGCAAUUCUGGAACCUGCAUACAUGAUCUUCUUUAUCACCUCCUUCUAGUUGAAGCCCGAAUAGUUCAUCCUUGAAAAAAUAGUUUAUUGGACAUGGUUUUGCCCAUAUAAAUCUUCUCUAACUCGUCCCAUGCUUCCUUCAAUCACGUUUCUGUGAUGUGAGACUUAACUGAUUUCGUGAGAUGGAUCUCGAUGGAGCUCUUGGCCUUCUUGAGAAUCUUGGUUCAUGUCUCUUUUGUCAUGGUCGUAGGCUUUUCACCAAGAAGUGCAUCAUCCAACUCCUACUGUAUCAGUAAUUUCUUCAUCAUCCUUUGACAGUCCGUGAAGUCAUGCUGCCAUCAAAAGGUUUUAACGCAGGCCUUAAGGUUCCUAGGUCUAUGGUUUCCUUUCCUCUUGCCAUUGCAGAACACUUUGAACCAAGCUCUUGAUACCAAUUGUUAGAGUUUGACUCCCCUUAAGAUCUCGCUCUUUGAUGUAUCUGGAAAUAAACUAAACUUAGCAAUAGUUUUGCCUACGUCCAGUUGUGAUUUCUCUAGGAAGAAAAAUCAUGGCUUCUUUGAUUAAUGAUAGAGUAUACAUCACUUUUGCAAACCCUAGAACUAACCGCUCUCUUUCUCUCAACUAUCUCCCUGAUUUUUCCUUGGAACUAAUCCUUCUCUUUCUUUGGGCUACCUCUCUAGGUUUCUACUACUUAUUGGCCCUUCCCGCACCCUUAUUUAUAAGUAUAAGGUGUGGUUUACGCUUCUAUAAUCUGAUUAGGUUUCCGAAUCUAUUUGGGAUAGGAAAGUACACUUCCUUUCUUAUUCCAAUUCUUCUUCUAGGAUUCCUACUCUAAUUGUGCAAGAAAACUUUAAUUAUUUCCUAAUCAUUGGAGAACAAGAAUAUGUGCACCUUAGCCUUCCUAAACAAAAUAGGACUCUAAACCAAAAGAUGAACCAAAUCCCUAUAUUUACAACAUCUAAUUCAUUACAUUGCAUGGGAAAAUUUGCAAUUGGAGAACUCACCUGACUAGGAACGGUGUAGAUUGUGACUGAUUGUCUUCUUGUCAGCUUCUGGACCUGCAUAUUAAGCCUCUUUUGGAUACCAUCUUUCAAUGGAGUCAAGAUAUCGUUAUAUUGUUUCUCCAAUGCUUUUAUGAUUGCUCUUUCGACAUUAGCUACAGCCUGCAAAGAGCCAACAAAACAGCUUAGAUGAAUGUAUAGGGCCGAAUCCAGGUGGGGGGUAGAGAGAGACAUUUCUGAAAGCUCUUUGAUAAUACUAUACGAUGAGAUGAGAACUCACUUGUUCCAAAAUCAAGGAGUAUUGAGGCCAUCGAUUGAGUACCACCUCGUAUUGAAUAAGGGUCUCUCUGAUAUUCUCAUACAUAUCCUCAGCAAAUGGUGAGGUGGAACUAUUUGUUGACACACCAGACCAUGGCACCUGAAUCAUUAUUCAGAUCUCGUUAGUUACGCACAGUUCCUCAGUUGAACAAUUGCCUUCGGUGGAAGUUUGCGCUAACAUGAGCAAGAACAUCAAGGAAUAGACUACACAUGGCAUGCUACAUAGAAAAGUUCUUGAAGCGAAGUUAUACCUUUUCUGCCCUGCAACGUUCAAGUAAAUUAAGUUGCAUAUCCUGUACCCAGACCAUUAUGUAAUCGUGAAACAGACGCUUUGAGUCAACACCACCCUGCACUAGACUAAAGCAAACAAAACAUGAAAUGAGAAAUUAUUUAAAGUAUACAUUCUACAAAACAACAGAAACUUCGUUCAAGAAAAUCAAACCGCAAAAAUUUAUUCAAGUGUAUGCUAUGAGGGAUUUUGGUCCAAAUCUCUUUCACAGACCUUAUGUUCCAUGAUUCAAGGUUUCUUUCAAAUUCGGCAACUGCAAUUAAAAGCUCAUUUACAUGUGGCUGUGGACCUGAUGGAGGCAAGGCAGCAAGAAACGCUUGAAGUCUGUUGUACAGCUCAGUGCUGUAAAUGGCAGCAGCUAUAUUCGAGAGAUCAAUUGAACUAGAAAUAAGUAAGAUUUGUCAGUAUUCUCGCACUAAUUUUAUUAUAUCGAUCCAACUGUAAUUUUGAACUAUGAGUCAAAGUAUUAGGUGCAAAAGACAAAGGCCUGUACCUGGGGAGUACAUGCUGGUUGUGGAUUUUGAUGUCUGCCUGAAUUUCCUUUUGUAUAUUUAUGCAUAAAUUCUUCAUUUUCAGAUAUGCCGUUGAGAUGGAUAUGGAGUCCAUAAGGAAACCUUCAGAGUUACUUGACACAAACUCAUCAGUGUCUAGAGUGUGCUUUCGGUACCUCUUUUUUGCUGCUGUCUGGAAACAAAUACAUUUGGUUUAGAACUCUAUUUUCCUGAGUGCAAAACAAACCCAAGAAGUUGUUGAUCCACGUUAUAUGUUGGGUUGUUAUACAGGAAAUUUACGUACGGACACUGCCUCUAGAAAAGAAAAAAAAAAGAAGCUAUAAGUGCAUGUACCCAAGUGUAUUCUAAUAUGCAUAACGGGCAUCUUCCCAAGAGUUUUCUAAUUCCAUGAACUCUCUAAUUUAUCGACCGUAAUGAACCAACACUAGGAAUCUGCAUGUUAGGUCAUCAAAUAUUUGAGGAUAAGAAAACUAAAGACCUCCAACUUCAUAAAAAACAUUCAUAUAUAUGUAAGUUCGGUCUUGGAAACGUAAGAAGAUAAUUAUUAACAUUAUUCAUGUACCUCCAAAUAGUUGCGCAGCAUAGUUUGGGCAUCCAGAGUGAGGAUAUCGUGAAGGAUCAUGUAUACUUGUACAGAAGGAGCUAGAGCUGGUGCUGCAGAAUCUGGGGUUGGACCAAAUGAGGAUGUGAAUCCUGUGGGUGACCCUUCAUCUAAUGACUUGUAGUUUUCGAAAACAUUAGCCAAAAGACUCUCGAUUUGGUUUUCACAGUCUAACAGUAUACUUUUCUGCAAGAAAGCAAGAACAAAUCCAAUUGAAACAAAGGGAAGUUAAAAUUAAUUUCAGAGGGAAAGUCAAAAAUAAAAAAAUAAAAAAAAUCCUAGUAUUCAGUGGACAGAUACCAAGAAAAACAAAUUGGUUCAAAACAUUUAGUAACAAGUAAUCUUGUUCUUUUGCAGAACCAUACUUUACCUCCUGCCUUGUCAAACAUUUCUGACUCCUGGCCUUUAUUAUAGGUACAAGUAACUCAUUCACAAGCUCUAAGCAAUCUUUUGUCGGAGUUGCCACAUUCAUCACAUGUAACAGAUAUCUACGAAGAAACCAAAGGGAUGUAAAUACGAUGCAAGCCAUCACAAAGAGAAGAGCAUAAUAGUGCUUUCUUUGUUUUAUUUUCGUACAAAGAAAUUGCUACUUAUUAGAUUUAAAAAAUUGUACAUUUGAUACGUACCUCAGCUUUGUGUACGACUGGGAAACUUCAUAAUAUUCUGCAAACUCAGUCAACAACCACUUCCAAGUUCCAUGCAACCAUAGGUUCCGGGAAUGAAAGUUUUGUGCCCGCAUAGCAGCCUCCAGCAAUAAAUCAUAUGCUAGAGUCUCUGCAACUGGUCCACUCUAUCAUAUGUGAAAAAGUAGAGGUGAAAACACUUAUCCUACAAGUUUGAUGACUAAAUAAAAAUAACAAUGCCAAAUUUUUGGACUGAACACAGAAGAAAUGACAUUUCUGAGUCUGUGACAAGAUUUUCUUAGACGAGUUGAGUUGGAAGAAAACAAACCUUGAUAUGAUUAGCUUCAUCACUUGUUAUCAUACUACCGAUGUUGAGCUGGAUUUUUCCAAUACAUUCUUGAUCAUCAUGGUAUAAAGGCCACCAACGAAGUUUAUCACUCUGCAUAAUUAAGAAAGUCACAUAAUAUAACAUGCAGGUGGUAGAAAGAUAUUGUUCUGCCUUAAGAAAUCAACGUUGGAUGAUAGAGGAAGGAUUCAUACGGCGCUGUCAUUCAAGGAUGAAAUAGGAAUUGUAGUUCGACCUUGGACUGAUUUUUUCGUGUCUUGAACUUCUACCAAAAGAGCAUCCACUUGACUCUCUGGAAAACUGAAAGUGCAUAGACAUGUAAGACCUUUUCCACGUUAACAUCACAUGAAACUCUCAAGUCAUGACCAAAGUCCCCUGAAAGGGACCUACACUUUGGUAUAUUAGACUAUGCCACGGAACUUCAAGUUCCAACACAAGUUACCAGCAUAUCCCUUAAAAUGAGGGUUAAAUGCCAACAUGACACCAGGGUUUAAGCAAAACAGAAACUUACAAUACAUGGUAAUCACCGCUUCCAGGGUGCAAACAAAUUGCAGAACUUGGCUCUACUUCGGUAUCGUCAGUGGCACUACUAAGUUUGAGUAUGCAUGAAAGUGGCUCUGCACACACAAUAAGAUAGGCGUCAACAUCCAUUAAUUUCAGUAUAAAAUACACAAGACAUAAGUUACGAAAAAUCCAUCAAGAGAUGCUACACAUUGAUAUAUCUCUUACUUAUCCUAAUCAGUAACAAUAAUUUUCUGGGGUUGUAAUAUAUAAAGUAAAUGGCGGCUGCAUAUUAAGUCUUCGGAGAAAAUUUAAUUUGAGAACAAAAUAGGGUUCUUCGUACGGCUCAAACCUUGUGGUGUAAUUGAGAAUGACGAUGACUUUAAAGAAUUUAUGCCAGUUUUUACUAGUGAUGAAACAUGUCGGACGUAUUCUGCCCCUGCUUGUAUGUACAUUGCACUUCGCUGUGAAUAUGUGCUCUUGAGUUUCCUUCUGGGUAUUACUCGAAGUUUCUUCACUGCCAUCAUUCAAAAACUACAUCAAAUUACAAAUACACUAUUUUGUCUACUUUUAUCAGCUCAGUGUCUAAAAUAAACACAAAACCCUUAGAUUAAAUUAUGCUAGCAUAGCUAGCAACCUUCUAGUAAUGUCAAGAUAUAUCUAAAAAAUAUUUCAUACUUGUGGCCUCCCAAAACAGUUGUAAAUAAAGAAAUUAAAUGACUUUGGUAAAAUUGUUUUAAUGUCCAAAUCCAGUGGAUAUGUUUCUUAAACUGAGAUUAACUCUGAGCCAUUCUUCAACAUAUUACUAAUAAGCUUAACCCAUUUAUAAGAUCAUACCUUCAACUCUGAUCUUUCCAACCACCUUCUUUGCUUUCGGAGCAAAAGUUUGUUCUGCAUUCCGACUACACUUUGCUUCUAGUGGCUGCGCUCCUCGGGCUGGCAACAAAAAUGUGUUUAGCCUGUAGAAUCAGAGUGUAAAUCUUAAAUGACCAAUCAAACCCUGAGAACUAGCCAUCAGCCAUGAAACUUCAAAAGAACUAAAUAUUUAGGGUUAGGAAAAGGUAGCUAACCCAAAAGCAUUCCGAAGAACCACGCACUCGUCACGCAGAAAUUCAGGUGCCUCAGUGCAGCCUCUUGCCCAUGCUUGUAGGCAUAAGCGUAUACAUGCCUCGUGUGCAACCAAGGUUUGCCAGGCAUAUUGGCCACUGCAAUGAUUCAAUUUGAUACCAUAAAAAAAAACAAUCAAAAAACAUUUUUCAGGUUAGAAUGACAAAAGUAAUAUGUGUGCAGAAUCUUUUCAUGCAAUAAACUUCACUAAAUCGAAAGUAACAGUAAACAAGUAUCUGUCUUCAUAUGAAAUUCAAUGGUGGAAGAACCUGGUAUUAUAAUAGGAAUGGUCUAAUUGGCUGGCUUGCAAAUAAGGGACUUUCGCUUCUGUUUCUCCAGCUAUGCUUUUGUUCAUUCUGCAGAACACAAAGUCAAAUCAUGCAAGAACUAUCAAAAACCCGAAACGAGAACGUAGAGAAAUCAAAUGAAAGUCACAGUCCAAAUAAAAUCCUAAAACAAGAAGAGCAACUCUAUUCAAUACCUUUCACCAAGUUCAGAAGCUUUGAAAGAACUAGUAUCCAAAUCUGCUAAACCCUCUACACUCCCAUCAAACCCCAUGGAUCCCCUUGAUGGGCAGGUCGAAUUUUCAGCUGCAUUGCUCUCUCUCACCCCCUCAGAAAUUUCCUGCCCUCCUUGAAUCUCAUCAUCAAUACCCGCCUCGUCUCUCCCAAUUUCGAAAAUCGGAGGUGCACUAGGAGUUCCCAAAUCUGCUGAAUCUCUGUGCACACCACAUUCAUCACCACUUUGGGCAGUGCCCUACAAUACAAAAUUGGAAAUACCACCAACAAAAGAUUCAAAUUACAAACAAGCACACACCCACUACACAAAAACAAAAAAGAUCAUUAUUUUGCAUCAAGGCCUACAUUGAAAUUUCGAAGUUGAGCCCUUUUCAGGAGCUGAUUGCCGGCACCCGGUGUCAAAGUUUUCGGGGGGCAUCUCUUCUUGAAACCCACCUCACCGUCCGUAAAUCUUCUACAAUUUCCGGGCAAUUCAACCCUCAGACCCUCCUUCAACAAACCUCUAUUCAACCCGGUGCUAGGCUUAUCCCUAUAACCAAACACCUCCUCUUCUUCUUCCUGAUAAUACUGUUCCAUCGGCUUCGACUCUUCCUCGAAGUAAAUGGCAGACGAACCCAUAUCCGAAACCGAAUCGACGCUCUCGUUGUCGUCAUCAUAGUCGUUUUCGUCGUCGCUGCUUAGACACGGAGCCACCAAGCUGUGAGGAGCGAGCAGGCCGGAGUGGAACUUGAGCGGAGGCAGAGCGGGACCACCGCCACCGCUGUUGGUGCCGAAGCGCAGAGGCGAUAUUGGGUAUGCGUCGGAAGUGAGUUUCUCUGCGAGAGGCGACCGGAUCGCUUGUGGGGUUUGUUGCUGUUGUUCUUGCACUUCCAUUUCUGAUUCCUGCAGGUAUUCAACUGAAAAAUGAAAGUUGAAUUCUCAAAAAUUUUGAAAAUUUAUGAACUUUCGGGAUUUUGGUACCUGUUUGAUCCAUUUGAUUGCACUCUCGUCGAGGCCUUCGGUGAACAUUGUGCUGGGUUAUGGGUUAGAGAGAGAGAGAGAGAGAGAGAGAGAGAGAGAGAGAGUUGUGGGGAGCAGAGAGAGGAUGGAAGAAGAAAGAGAAGAGAAGAGAAGAGGGAGAUAGAGAGAGCAUAGGUCGGUGGGUUUCGGCUUGCAACGGCUAGUUAGACUUUUUAUUAUUUGUUUUUUUUACGCAAAACGGUAAAAGGCACCUUUCUCUUCUUUUUCGAAAAAAUAACAAUUUAAGAAGGGGGCUUUUGCAUGUCCUAUUUUCUAACUCUCCUUUGGUCCCGAUCUAACUUAUAAGCUUUCGAAACCUGUUGUUGGUGUGAAAGAUAGAUUUGUGGUCAAAAGAAAACUUAAAUGUCUUUAUAGAUCUUUCCGACCCUUAAAAAAGAUGGAUAAUUGUGAUUUCCCACUAGUUAUCCUUUUUUUUUUUAAAUACUAAUAAGCUUAUGUAAACAAAAUUUAGAAAAGAGAAAUAAACUAGUAUAACUAACAUACCUCAUAUAUACCAUGAAAUUGAGUUCUUUAAUAGUGUUGAUAAAUUAUAUCUCAUGCAGGUUCGUACUUAAGCAUAAUCAAGUUGCCUAAAAUAGCCUUUUUUACAAAAGAAAUCAGCUAAUGGCUUCGUCACAGCAGUCCAUCUUUUCAGGGCUGAGAAGACUCACAAAGGUAUUUCAGCCUUCUUUUGGCCACCAUUGUGUGAUUCAUUAGCGCCAGGAAUCGAACCUAAGAUAAGUAUGACUUGAAUAAAAAUAAAACAAAUCGUAAGAUUUUGUUUAAAUUAAAUUAUUCGGUUGGUCUCCUAAGGUCUCGGGUUCCUUCGCCCAUGAGCGGUAGGUCUCGGGUUCGAGACUUGGGAGCAGCCUCUCCAUAAAUGGGGGUAAGGCUAGCCGACAUUCACCUCUCCCAGACCCUGCGUAAAGCGGGAGUCUUGUGCACUGGGUACGACCUUUGGUCUCCUAAGGUCUUCAUUUUAAGGACAUGUGAGGAUCAAAUGCAUAUUAGUCACAAAACUAUAUUAGUUUAGAUCCAAAAAACUUAAAAUAUUUGACAAUUUAAUAAAGCAAAACAUGAGUUUUCUAUUGGUUCAUGGAUUUUGAGUUAGUUUUGGUUUAUUAAGUUGUCAAAUAUUUUAAGCCUUUAGACCUAAACUUCCAGAAUUUUGUAGUUAAUAUGCAUUUGGUCUUCACGGGUUUUUAUCUUGAGGACCUUAAGAGAGUAGAACUGUAAGACUUGAAUUUCAGAGAAAAGGAAAUAAGAGUAAAGUACAAAUAGUAAGUGUUGUUGUAAGUCACUACAUUUAUGAUUUUAGAUGUACCGUUAUACACAACAACAAAAUGACUCCGAAUCAAACUAUAUGGCAACUGGAAGAGCUUUGAACCCUUUGCAUGUUUCCACAAGAGAUCUUCCAACCGUGUUGCUCACCCUUUUGGCUAGGGGUGGGUUCGGUUUAAAUCGGUUCGGUUUUUUGCCAAAACCGAAACCAAAUUGAAAUUUCGGUUCGGUUCAGUUCGGUUCAAUUUUUUUUCGGUUUUUUUCGGUUCGGUUUUUUUUCGGUUCAGUUUUUUUCCGGUUCGGUUUCGGUUUUUUUUUUUGUUUUUUUUCAAAAAAUGAAAAACAUUGAAAUUUUAAAUUUUAACAUAUCCAACACAAUCAUAACAUAAACAUUCUAACUAGAAUCAAAGACAAUGAAAAUAAACAUUUAAAGUUGAACUAAAAUCAUCAAUCAAGUCUUUCAAAGUCCAAACUAACAACCUCACAACACAAAAUCACACAAAAAUCGUACAAAUGACUUAAAAAAGUAAAAUUGUAUGAUGUUGUUCAAAGAUCAGUUGUUUGCUUGUAACUGCAUGUUGACAACUUGAUUAGUAAAGGUAAUGCGUGGGUGGAUUUAUUUAGUGUGUGUUGGAUUCUUUUCCAUCACAAAUUACCCAAGUAAUCUACCCGAAAUAAAUGUUUAUGGAUUAUGUUACAUGUUAUAUGAGAGUAGAUUUGGAAAAGAAAGCUGGCGCAGAAGUAGACACUGCUAUGGAGAUGGAUGUAGGUACUUCGGGAAGAGGUUUGGUUCCGGAACCUUAUAUGGGGGAGAAAUAAUAGGUUAGGGUUUAGAGUUUUUAUAGGCAUUUUUUUAAUAUUUUGAGCUUAAAGUUUGGCAACACAUUGGGUUAGCACAUUUUAACUUACAAAUUGGGUUUAGAAAAUAAUACCCAAAACAAAUAAUUAAAUAAAAAAAUUAAUUUAAUUAAUUCGGUUCGGUUCGGUUUGAUUCGGUUUCUAAAUCACUAAAACCGAACCAAACCAAAAGAAUUCGGUUCGGUUCGGUUUUUUCAAUUCGGUUCGGUUUUUUCGUUCGGUUCGGUUUUUUCGUUCGGUUCGGUUUUUUCGGUUUCGGUUAGGUUUGGUUUUCGGUUUUCGGUUUUCGGUUUUUUGAACCCACCCCUACUUUUGGCUAAGUGUUCUUCCUUCAUUAUCUUGUUCUUUAUGUACCGCCAUAGUUACUUCCUCUCUAAGAAAGUGGUGUAAAAUCUUCUUAUUGUUUGGAUCAAUGUGCGAAGGGACUUGGACCUUCGAAGGAAAGGUACUACUAGACUAAUAGCCAGUGGGUGAUGUAAAUUAUUUUUAUAAUGAAUAAGAUCCCUCUCGGGCAUAAAUGAAAGACAACAAUGGAGUUUCUUCAGCAUUCAUAGCGGACUUCAGAUAAUUGUAUCAUUACGUUAAAAAGGAAAGAUAGUAAUAAGUUGCUUCUGCAUUUUCCAUAGCGGGCCCUUCCGACAAACUAUUAGCUUAUUGGUCAAGAGUCCUUCAGAUAAUUGUGCCGUUACGUAAAAAGAGAGCAAUGAAUUGCUCACGCAUUUGGCGCAGUCGACGUCUCUGAAAGGCUAUUAUCUUAUUGCUAAGUGUCUCUCAAAUAAUUGUCUUGUUGUUAUUGACCUAUGAGGGCUCUCGGCCACAUAGAUAGCUCAACGUGUCAUCAACGCUCAACCUUGAGAUGUGGAUCGUCCAAGCCGCAUUAGGUUAUAAAAAAAAUAAAAAAAAAUUAAGUGCAACAUAGCUAAAAUAAUGGUUGGUUCCUUUUGACAUGUAUAAUAAAGCAGAAGUGAUUUUCGCACUCUUUUUCUCAUUGUGCACAUCCGUGUUUAGUUUUAACUUCUAGAUUGAAUCUAUCAAAAGAGAAUUAACAGACAGAAACAAAUAGAGGUGCGCUAAGGAUGAAAAUAAGUGUGCAGAGAAAUUUUUUUGAAGUGAAUGUGAACAAAAAAUGAAGUGACUUACUUAAAAAUGAAAAUAAACUUUUUUUUAACACGUAUCAAGAUUGUGAUUUACCUAUAAUGAUAAAAGAAAAACAUCUUGUUACAUGUAAGAGUAAGGUAUUUUCUUCUUAAAUAUAUGUCUACCAAGUACCAACCAACACUAAAUGAGCAAAACAAAGGAAGCUGGAAAACUGGAAAAGCAAGGCAUGCCUUUCAAACCAAAGGUCAGAUCAUAUUCAUUUAGUAGCACUACAAGUGCAGUCUGGCAUUAAAUCCUUGGGAGUAGUAACGAAGGAGAAGGUAAAGACAAUUAAUUCACAUGAAACUAACUGGUGUAAUGGAGCAACGGGUGAAUAUGGUCUUUCUCUUUAACUCACUGUAUCCUGAGUUCAAACUUUCCCGCUCUUUACAGUAUAGCUUAGAAUAAUAUUAUCGUUGGCAAUAAAAUGCAAAAAAAAGAAAAGAAAAAAAGGACUGGAGUAAUGGCAUAGCUUUCCACGUUUCCCUUCAUGCAGUAGAAAUUAAAGACAAACCUGCUGGCCUUGGCCUCUUCUGUGCCUUCCUCAUGUAACCUCCAAUUCUGUGCUAGCUAGCUAGACAUCACCACAGAAGAGCUACCUUUUAUACCCGUUGGGUUUUAUUGCGUUUCUGCAUUUGCUUUUGCUUUGCCUUCUCUCUUCUGAAAAGAAGAAGGGAAAAAUGGUUGGUUUUGGCUGUGGUGGUGAUGAUGAACAGGAUUUUCAAGGAUCUUCACCGACUCCUACCGUCACGCAUAGCAGUGAUAGCGUUGUUGUGGAGGGUGAGGAGGCGGCAGCAGUGGCGGAGGAGGAGGAGGAGGUUGAUCGCGAAACGUGUGAUCUUCAGCUGCCUCAAGACCGAGUUCUGGCUGCGAAGCUCAGACCCCGCCUUCGAUGGACUCCUGAGCUUCAUGCCUGCUUUGUUGAUGCUGUCAAUCAGCUUGGAGGCCUUCAUAGUGAGUACCCUUCUCCUUCUUCCUUGGCUUUGAGAUUUUUCGCAUGUUUUCGGAUUUCGGUUAUCUGAUUUUAUCACGCGUUUCAUCUUGCAGAGGCAACUCCGAAGAAAAUCCAGGAGGCAAUGGGUGUCCAGGGGAUAACUCUUUUCCACUUGAAGAGCCACCUCCAGGUCUGUUUCAUCAAUGCAUGAUUCAUUGAUGGUUGAGGAAAAAUUCUCGAAAAAUAUUCACAUACAAAACCGGUUACAAACUCUUAAUAAAAAAAAUAGAAUUAGAUGAGCAUUAAACUAAGACAUAUGUAAGCAAAUGGCACUUUACGAGACUAGCAGAAAGCAAUCAUGCCUAUGCACCCUAGUGCAAGUUCAACCCCUCCGGAUCCCCUUCCCCUACCAACUAACAAUUUGACCAACAAAUGCUAUCAUUUGUGCAGAAAAAAAAAACACAAUAUGACAUGUAAAUUGACAAAGAAAACCCACAAAUUUCUCCCAAAUAUGGCCUCAAAUUUAUAGUGUUUUAGUGGCAGAUUAGAUUGAAAAGUUUUCACUAGUUUAUUAAAAAAAAAUAAUACAUUAAGGUACUGAAUUAGGAAGGCCUCAUUGCACUUUCGCCCUUGGCCUCAUUGCAUUUUCGCCCUUGGCCUCAUUGCAUGUUCGUCUUACGCUUCAGUUUGCACUGAAACAGUUUUGUUAGUGUUCCUCGUAUGUAAAAGUUUGUAACCAGUUUUGUUUGCGUAUAUUUACCGAAGUUCUAUUGUUAAGUGCUAAUAGUACCAUAUAACUUUUCAAAUUUCACUCAAAGUUAUUGACGUGGUAAUCAUUUUUGCAGAAAUACAGACUUGGAAGGCACGGGGUGAAGGAAUGGAGGGAGGGGACUCAAACCUGUAUGUUCUUUUGCAAAAACUUGCUGCAGUAAAAAUAUACCAGUAACAACGUCCUUUACUAAACAGUUGAUAUAGUGAUGAAAUUAACUUGCGAGUUGUGAAAGAAGUUUCAUGUUUGAGUUGCUACAUUUAGAUUUUCACUGCCACUAAAUAAAAGAGAACUCAGUUUCACAGGACUCGGAAGAAGGCCGAAGCACCAGUAGUACUUCCUCUCCCUCGCCCAAGCUAUCCCGGAAAAAGUAUGAUUUGCACUGCUCCUCAAUCUUCUAUAUGAAUGUACUUGUUAACUUAUUCCAAAAGGUAGUUGUUUUCGCACUCUCAAUUUUAGCUUAUGCAUUUCUGUCGCUUGAUUCUCCUUUGAUUAUCCAAUCCGAAAGGUGGAAACAAGAGGAUGAGUGCGGAAAUAGAAAAUGAGAGUGCGGAAAAUCAUUACCCUCUUCAGAAAUUACCAUUACAAAGGUUGCGUUUUCAAGUGCAUUAUCUUGUAAAUGCUGUGAUGUUUUAUGUUUUGGGUUGUGGCUCCAUGCAUAGGCACUCUUAUAAACUAGUGAAGGAAGCUCUAGAUGAAGAAAGAGAUAGUAUGCAAGUUGAGGCAAGUUUUCGAGUUCGGAAACUAAUUUGGGAACUUUAAGUUGAUAAAUGUAAACCUACUUCUCUAUUCAUGAUACACAACUUUGCAGGUUGGGAGGCGAUUGCAUAUCCGUCAGGAUGCUGAGCGGAGAUUCAUGAAUUUCGCGAUGGAGAAUGCAUGUAAGAAGCUUGCUGAUCAGUUUAUUGGUGCUGCGACAGCCGCAGCCAUACUUAACGGCAUUGCAGGUGUAGGAACUUUGGAACUAUACCCUGCAUAUCAGAUGACAGAGGGAACGGGUAUGCAGCCUAGUCUUGAAGGCCACACGACCUCUCACGGGCAUUCGGAGAAUUCAUCUGUCGAAGAUUUCCAUACUCGUGCCGAAGAUGACGAGAAAACGGAGGAGAGCUUGGACAAUGACCCUGCAGAAGCUUACCUGAUCAACCCGGAUCCAGAUAUGGAGUGAUAUGGCACUCUGGAUGAAGGAACAAAAUCACCCUUGUGUUGUUUCCUUGUGGAGUUUCAUAAGUUAAGAUUUACCCUUUGCCUUUUGGUGUAAAAUUUUGCCAGCCUAUGUUUGCUGAAUUGGCAAGUUUCACUUACCAAUGAACAGUAAAACAGUAAGAAUUUUGAGUAAUUAAACGUCUGUUUGAUAACCAAUUCAGUUUUCGAGAAAACUAAAAACUGAAACAUGUUCAGAUAACCAAUUCAGUUUUUGAGAAAACUAAAAACUGAAACAUGUUCAGGUAAUCGUACUCCUUUUUCAAUUUUCUGAAAACUAAAAAUAAAUGAUUCUCAAACGCUCCUAAGCUUCAGCUUAAACAAAGUUAAACAGUUUAACUGAACUGAAUCCUAUGUAUCGACUUACCAGCAAAAAAAAUCAAGCUUUUGAGAAUUAAAAGAAUUAUCCAAUUUACCUUUCCUUUCAAAUACGAAAUAGAAGAGAAUACAAGGAUUGAAGGUCCACGAAUUACAAUUUCUAACACAAACAAUAUGAUAUAAAGUAAAAGCGCAACACUAGUGAAGCAGUAAAGCAAAAUGGGGAUGAGGGGUAAACGGAGAACUGCCGCUGGUGACGUCGCAAACGAGGACAGCACGCAGAAAACAAAGGUCUUCAUGCACUAUCAUCGGAGAGCCGCAAGAGAUACCGCAACACCAUCAGCUUUCGGAUGCAACCAAGUGUAAAGGCUAAAAUGAUUUAACAAAAGCACUUCUUCCUCCUACAUAUAGCAGCCUCACAUUUCCCAACUGUUUGAAUACAAUGCCAGCCAACACUUUUCUAGUCGAUCUUUACGGAUGAGAAGAGGUAAUGAACAAAGUAGAAAGACAUGAGAAAGCCAAUGGUGCCAGUUGACAACAUGAUUGCAGUUGCCAUGAUCAAUGAAUAACCGAGGUAAAGGAUAGCCGACACAGGCCCGCUCAAACUCUGCAGGUCAAAUACCAGGUAAUUGAUGGAGUACAGGAACACGUAAAGGGAAACUGAACCUGAGGCAAAGAAAGCCUUCCACCACCACCUCCAAUCCUCCACACAAAGAUGCAUGUAUGUGAGAACUACUGAAACUUCAGCACAAACAAUAACCAACAACAUAAGCACUAUAAAAAGGAAACCGAAGACAUAAUAAAAUCUUCCAAGCCAGAUGCUAGAAAGGAUGAAGAAGAGUUCAAUGAAAAGGGUUCCAAACGGAAGUGUCCCAGCACCAAGAACAAGAAGCCAUGAUGGAUAUUUGCGCGCAGGAAUCUCCCUUGGAAUCUGGUUGGUUCUCACGGGAUAUGAAAUUGGCUCAGCUCGUGCGCCUAAGAAUCCUCCGAGAAGGGUGAGAGGAACGGAAAUGCAGAACCAGAGGGAGAUGAGUAUAAAAUACAAAGAAAUGGGAAGAGCACCAGUACUCUUGCUGCCCCAUAGAAUGAAAUUCAGUAUUGUAAGAAUCACAAAGACGAUUCCAGGAAAGAAACAUGCCACAAACCAGGAAACCGAUCUCCACCCUUCAGAAGUUCCCUUUAUGGUUCUCCACAUACGGACAGCAACAUAACCAGCAAUAAUCCCAAGGAAGAGAUAUAGAAUGAUCAUUCCUGUCAGUAGCAUUCCUCGUGAAGCUGGUGACAUGAAACCAAAUGCUGCAAAGAUGAUAGUGACAACUGCCAUCCCAGUAAUCUGAACUCCAUCCCCAACCAUCACGCAAAGAAGCUUUGGAGAAUCUGGUUCUCUGAACACAUCUCCCACAACAAGCUUCCACCCAGAGAGCUCCUCAUUCAUCUGAGCUUGAGAUUCUUUGUCGAGUUCUUCGUAUCUUGUUAAAUCCCUCCUCACCGUCCUUAGGAAUAUGACAAAAACUAUACCAGCUAGGAAAAAGAUCACCAUUAAUGAAUUCAGAAUAGAGAACCAGUGCACACGAGCACCCUCCAUCUUCAGAUAAGCAUCCCACCUUGAUGGCCAUCUUGUAUCACUUUUCACAAACUCAACCUCAUAAGUAAAUGAUACUUUCUCUUGCUGCCUUAUUAUUUGAGCCUUUUCGAGCUCUGCGGGGCAACUUACAGGUUUGAUAUUUUCAUACAUAGCUUUUUUCUUCAUGGCCUCUGGGUCGUAUUUAAUGCUACAAGGGUAAACCUCAAAGCCAACAAUCUCAAACCCAGAUGCCUUCUUCUUAUCAGCUUCCGAAAUGACACCCAUGCCUUCUUCCCCAGUCCCAAUUAUCUGCACACCACUCCCUUCAUACUCGUGAAUCAUAACCCUGAACUUGAGGUGAUUGAUGAUGUAAUCUUCUUUACUGUUAGGUGAUGUGUACCCAACAGGAAACCCAGUCCACUGAAUCUUAACCCCAUUUUGAUAAGCAUAUCUCAUUGCGGGCAAAUUAUCAAGGAUCAUAUUUACCUGAUACAGAUCACGGGUUCUCUGUUUCAGCAGCUUUACGUCGUGCUCGGUCAAAGAAUCUGUGGUACACAGGUAACGAGUCUCAUUCACGUUCAUGUUAAAGCGGUAUGCAGAGUUCUCGAUCUCAUCUCCCAUAAGAAGUUCCCCGAGAUUCUCAGCACUUUUCUUGAUGCCUUCAGGGGGUUUGCAAUAAGGGAGACUGUAGUAGCUGAAGGGCAGCUCAGUCUCUAUAGAAGUCAAGGAGUUAACUUUUGUAGUGAUUUCUUGCCCCUUCGCAUAUGUAUGCAUGUAGCUUCCGGGGAGAUAAAACCCAUUACAGGUGUGCACAAAAACAACCAAAACGAGCAGAGCCCAUUUGAUUGAGAGCAUUCCCGGAUUCAAUAUCGCCAUCAGAACCCAAAAAAACACAACACUCACCACAAGUUGGAGUGAGCAGUGGAUCUAAGCUAAGUCUUACAGAUGCAUUCACCGAUUAAUCUACACAAAUUCAAACAAAAAGAAUAUUAAUAUCAGCCAAAAGAACACAACGACUAUAAGUUUAAGCUAAAAACACAAAAUUAAACCUUUGGGUUAACAAAAUCGAUCAAGUACUUGUUAAUUGUUCAAUUUCUACACUCAAACCGCAUCAGAUCCGCUAAUUAACAGAGCAUAACCAUUCAAAUACUCACUCAAUCAGAUCUAACAACCAGUAAUAUAAUAAAAAACGAAUACCCAGAUCCAAAAAAUUUAAAUUACAAUAAAAAUCAAAUCAUGCGUUACGCAAAUGCAACAGAUCCAUGAAAAAUUUGAGAAAUUGAGAACGAACCGUGACAGAUCUGGAACCGACACGGAUGAGCGGCCGUGGUGCGCGAGAGCGAAGCAGAAUCCCGGCGUCCCCUUUCGCUUAAUAUUAUUCUGCUGACAUUAUCGCGAACAAGCUCAGAGGGGGUGAGGUGAGGGAACUAACUGCUUUGUUAAAAAAAAAUUGGUGCGAUUGGAGAUGGGGAAUUUGUUCUCUACGCACUCAAGUCAUACGGUUAUAUAGGGCCCCAUCCCACUGUUGAAACAAAGUUCGAUUGGACCUUGCAUUGGAUGGGCGGUUUUCAUUUGUUUUUCCUUCCUACAAACUUACAAUGUUACAGAUAAAACUGAUUUUUGAAAAUAUGUACAAAUAAAUCGUAUUUGCCGAGUCUGAUAGCGUGUGUUUGUAACUAAGUAGUACAUUAAAGUGAUUGAUUACAUGAUGAAUGAGUAAAGUUGGUGAGUAAUUUAUUAUCAUGUUGACAUCAAAUUAAGUUCGUUGUAAGCCCUCAAGUUAGUCGAGGGCAUAUGUCGACUGGUAAAUAGUAAAUCACCUUGUGAAAUCACAAAUAGAUCAUAGGACAAUUAGCAUGAAGGAACAUUUUUUGAUAUUUGGAUUUGGUUGCAGAAAUCAAUUGUCGUCACGUCAUUAUUGUGUGGUCGUUAGAUUAUCAAUAUGUCGUCGUUAUUAAAAACUGAUCAUUUCUGUAAUCAAAUGUUAAAAAGUGAUCAUUCUUGCUAAUUGCCCUAGAUCAUAAUUAGAUUUGACAUAUCACUUAAACAACAAAACUUCUCAAUAUGUUAUUUCAAAUUGAAAUUUGAUGUUUGGAUUUUGGAUUUUGACAUAUAUCUCUUUGAAAAUCGCUCUUUGAUAAAAAAAAAUUAAAAAAAAUUAAAAAAAACAAAUAUAAUUAGUUAUUGACAUUUUACCAAAAAUUUAUGCACUGACUAUAAGUAACGACAUUCUCUAUUCAAGAGUAAAACCUUCUAUGCGUAUGAGAAUUAUUUUUUCAGCAAGCUGCAAUUACAUCGAUGAUAUAUACACAAGUGGUUUAGCUACUUUCAACUCUUUAGUAUCUUGUUAACCAUCAUCAAAAUUGUACAUUGUGUACUCACUUUUCAUCUGACUUAAACAACUCAGCAACUAACCGUCUUGUCUUAUACCUAACUAAAGGUUACUUAUCUCGCCCAAGAAAUGGCAACAAUUGAGAUUAAAAUAGUGAACGGAUGUGUAACGCGUGAGAAUCUGCACAGAUAAACUGAUUGUGAUUUGAGAACCUUUCCGUUUGAUCAUUAUUAUGCUUUAUGGUAACGAAACUGCAUUGUUAUCAUCAUUAUUAUGUGUUUUGUUGGUUAGCAAUUUUGUAAGUAAAAUCCUCAUCAAGGUUUGUGGCUGUAAAACUUCAACCUUUAUCAUUAUGGUGGUGAUUAUAUAGCAAUAUUUUCAAUAACGUUGCAAUCACUGUAUUUGGUAGGAAUGUAUAAACAUGGAUCUACUUUUUUCUACAUCCGAAACACAUUUGGAAGUAAAGGUUAGAAACUUAAGCUUCAAGCCAAGAUGUGUCAAAUACAAUCUUUAUGUCCUUUCUAAUACUAUCUUUAGCUAAUUCACGAUACCAACUGUGUUUUUGUCUUGAUCUCGACCAGUUUCAUGAAAAACAAGCUCGCAUUUACCUCAUAAGAAUGAAUUAUAUAAAACGAAUUUACCAUUACAUAACGUCUUUUCCAAUAAUACAAUGUCAUUUUAAAAAAUUGACACAUGUAAUUAAUUUUUAUUAGAACAAGACAUCACGGUGGCGAUGAAUCCGUUCCGCGUAAGUUGUUCUUCAAGCUCAAUUGUAGAUAGCAAGGCUCUUAACCUUGUAGUAGUGGGUUUGUGCUAUCCGGUAGCAGUUUUGGUUACUUUAUAAAUACAAAAUUAUUUGUUAGUAAAUUCGAAUAUGAAUAAGCAACGAAAGUUUGAAUAAACGUUUUAAAUGAAACAAAGUUCUCAAACUUACAACAAAAAAAUAUCUAUUAGUUACAUGCAUUAAAUAUCGUUGUAAAUGAGGAAUUUUUUUUAUGAAACUGUCAUAUGGCGUUACAAGCCGAUUCAUAUUUGUAGCACUUGCUUUAUUUAUUAAUUAUGUUUUGUGAAAGAGAAAUUCCAAGGAAACGUUCUUAAAGUGUGACUUUUUCUGAACUCUUUGCCGCAAUUUAACAUUAAUUCUUGUGCCAAUAAUAUAAAGUAUUAUGCAAAAAAUAUAAGGUGUUAGAGAGUUCAUCGAGAAUCCUAAUUUUGAACAAAUUUCCUUAACAUUUCUCUUUGUAAAAUAUAAUUCAUCGAUUAUCUAUACCAUAACACGUGAAACAACGAACUUAACUAAGAACAAAUGCAUGUAUGCACCAUACGUCAACUAUGAAGUCUAGCAACAUUACUUAGGGUUCUAAUAUAGCUCUUUUAACAUGUCAUUUCUCACAGAGUCACAGACAACCAUAACAAACAACAAACAAAGGCCAAAUUAUAUUAAUUGUACAAACGUUACUUAAUGGAACUUGAGGCUGGUCAAGAUGUUGUUGUGAACUGGGUCAGCCAAAUGAUCCAGAAGGUUCUGGUAAGGCCCCACACCAGUCACAAGACCCUGAAUAAAAUAACCCAAUAUUGCCAGCAUGGCAAGCCUCCCAUUCUUCACUUCCUUGAGCUUUAACUCGUUCAACGACUUUUCAUCUUUCCCAAACCCUAGCGGGUUGAACAAGGGCCCACCAGGGUAAGCCGGGUUCCCGGACCCACCCAAGUACUUCUCAAACCCCAAGAAGUAUUGCUUGCCCAUGGACCCGGGGUUGUACCAGUCCUGGAACCUCCGGUGCUCGGCGAACCCCAUUAGGGCAAGUUCAAAGACAAAGAGCGUGUAAGGGUCGGCCCAGUAGUUGUAGGUCCCGGCUGGCGGGAUGACCCCUGUUUGAAACCAGGGCAGGGCAGUCUCGGGCGGGAUUAGGCCGAGCUUGCCCAAGAUUUC
rnacentral:lncRNA from 1 species